rnacentral:lncRNA from 1 species
GGAAGGCCUUCAAGUUCUAACCCUUGAGGACGUCGUCUCUGAAGCUGACAUCUUUUGCACCACCACUGGAAACAAAGACAUCAUCAUGGUCGACCACAUGAGGAAGAUGAAGAACAACGCCAUUGUCUGCAACAUUGGUCACUUUGACAAUGAAAUCGACAUGCAAGGGCUUGAGACUUACCCUGGUGUGAAACGCAUCACCAUCAAGCCACAGACUGAUAGGUGGGUGUUCCCUGACACCAAGUCUGGCAUCAUUGUGUUAGCCGAGGGUCGUCUGAUGAACUUGGGAUGUGCCACUGGACACCCGAGUUUCGUGAUGUCUUGCUCGUUCACCAACCAGGUGAUUGCACAGCUUGAGCUCUGGAACGAGAAGUCAAGUGGGAAGUAUGAGAAGAAGGUAUAUGUUUUGCCUAAACACUUGGAUGAGAAGGUCGCUGCACUUCACUUGGGCAAGCUAGGUGCUAGACUCACCAAGCUCACCAAGGACCAAUCUGACUACGUUAGCAUACCCGUUGAAGGUCCCUACAAGCCUGUUAGCUACAGGUACUGAGAAGAAAAAAAAGAGGAUCAAGCUAUGGUUCUUCGUAUGGUUUUAUGAUUUUACCAUUUGGUUAUAAUCCAAAUGGCAAUUGUUUGAGUUGGUUCGGGUCUGGUCUGGUUGGGGAAAUAUGAGAUAUUGGUCUUCUUAUGAAGUUGAUCAAAUAUUGGUAUCAAUAAGGGGUUGUUGUUCUUUGGUUUUGAGAGGCUGUUUUAUGUUUUGUUUUGUUUUUCCUUUUUAAUUUUAUAUAAUCUCAAGAUAAUUUAAUUAUGUUUUACACUAUGGUUAGGCUUAUUUUUGAUUGUUUAUAAUUUUUUUAAAAAAUGAUUCAAGAGUUAUCAAAAUCUCAUAAAACUAUUGAAAACUUUUAAACAUCAUCCAAAAAAACAUCCAUAAUUAUAAACUCAAGACUCAGCUGAAACUCUAUUAGUUUGAUGGAGAGAACCUAAUAGUCAGGUUCUUGAACUUGGCAAGAACGACCAAACCAAGCUUUCUAAUUCAAAGAGAGAAAACAAAUUAUUUACAAAUUAUUUUGCAGCAUAUGCAUUCAUAUCAAUUGCUAGUCGUCUCCAGUCAACAAAGAUCUCAAUUCAAUCUAGAAAUUUAAUUCUCCCACAAGAAUCAUUUUAAUUAUUCACAGACCCUGCCAGAAAUUUCUGACUUUGGUCCAUGAACCCCUAAAACAAGCUUUACGAACUUCAACUUUAUCGAUCUUUCCAUCUAUCAAUCCACUUAACAAUUCUAGUCAGUUAUUUCACCAUUGAUUACAUAAAAACUAUAUAACCCUUCUGCUGUAAACAACAACAUUACAAAAGAGAUACUAUUAAACUUGCCUUGCUCAGCCUUAGAGAGACCAUAUCAAACUCAUAAUCAAGAACCGCAUUUUAUAGAUAAGCGGAAAAAAAUGUUUUCAGGUCUUGAUGUCGCUAGUGUCUCUAGCACACCUUGUAAUGACGUUGCAUCCUCGGCUGUAAGAAUUGGCUUGUCCUGAGCGACAAGCGUAGUAGGAAGCACCAGGUUUCUGACAAGGAACCAUGUCUCUCUUUAGAGUUCCGUAGCUUAUGUACUGUUUCCGCAUCAUCAUUACUCUCCGACUUAUCUCCGAUGGCAUCAUCUCCUCUCCUUCUUCCCCGAUUACGCCGUUCCGGUCGAGCAUUGCGUCGACUUCUUUAGUGACCGACGAAACUGUAGCCUCGACGGCGAUCGAGAGAAGGGUCUGAAGGAAAAGUAUGGAUAAGUAAACGAGAGCUAAGGAUCUCGACAUGUCGGUGUGGGAAAGUUUUGGUAGAUGUGGUGAGCGCUGCGUUACAACUCCCAAGUAGCUAGCUCUUGUGGUUAAACCGGUCGGUUGAGAUAUAGGUAGCAUCUAAGUCUGAACUCUGAACUGUAACGUCAAGUAUUUAAUUAAUCAAAUAUACACACAUAUAUAUAUUAUGUUAUUUCAGUGGAAUUCUCUCCAAUUUUCUUAGUUAUUGUGGUCCACUAACAAACACUUAGUUCCUUGUGUUGAAUUCAUGAUUAAUUUGUUGUUUUCCUUUUCAAUUAUAAUAUAAAUAUUUGUUUAAUAUCCUAAACUUUCUUUUUAGAUCGUUAUACAAGAGAACAUUUAUUAAAUCAACAUGUUUAUGUAGUGAGAUUAUUAAAAUAACCCAAUAGUUCAGUUUUUUUUUUUUAAAUUCGUAUGGAACAAAAAUAUACUGAUAAUAAUCUAGAGGGUUACUUAUUAUGAUUAAUAUGUGGGGCUUUGAGUAAAGAGAUAAUUAAGGCGUUGGUGUUAUUGCCACCUAACAAGUUCAACAACCCAACUAUAUCUUGAUGAGCUGUUUUCAUUGACCCACAUGCUCAGCUUUAUGUUUCGCUUCACACCAAAGCAUCACUUGAUUCACUUCAUUGCUUAAAACAAAAGAUAAAAAAUCAUAAUAAUGUAAUAUCAUCAACUUUGAAAGUUACCAUUUUCAGCAGGGCCUUUUCAUUGGUAAAUUUUCUUUGUGAAUGAAUCUUUGGUAUCGUAAUAGGAAAAAUAAAGUAAAUCACAGAAUCAUUUGCUCGGAUAAGAAGGAAAGAGAGACAGAAGAAAUGUUUGUUUUUCCUCUUGCUAGCAAAAGAAAAUAAAUACUAUAGUGUCAUAGCUUUGGGAUUUUUGUAUGCUGAAAACUGAUAAUUUAUAUAUAUAUAUAUAUAUAUAUAUAUAUGAAGGUUCACUAUUUUAUUAUCAACAUAAUGUUUAAACACAUUUUAGGAUUUGAUUUUGUAGUAUACUUGUAUAGAUCCAAUUACAAUAUCGUGUAGAACAAGUUAUGGACAGGUUGUGGAUUUGGUUUAUGAUGGGCCAUUAAGCCAUUCACUCAAGCGGACAUAUUAACAUGUUAAGGAUCACAUCAAAAUAAAAAUUGGACAUAGAUAACAUAUAAAUAAUGUGUCCAUCCCGUUAUUUUAAAUCAGAAAGCCAUAAAAUUUUAACAUAGCAAACCAAAUUGGCCGUUGCAGUUUUCUCCUAUUGAUAGUACUACAAGUGGUGCGAGUUAGGUUUUAUAACUUUAAGAUGGUACAAAAUAUCUCAUAGGACUUUAGGGGAGUCAAAGGAAUAUAUCAGCUCUUUACAUGCAGCUUCAUAGCUUGAACUAGGCAAUGGAUUAUCUAUUGAUAUCAGUUUAUUGAACAUGUCAACAACAGGUAACAAACAGGGCCGGCUUAAUAUAUACAAGGGCCAGGCCCGUCUCAAUGAUCAUUUAGACCUUGGGCUGAAAAAAUAUUAGGGCCUUUUUUUAAGGAAAAGAAAAAUAAUUGAACCCUUUUAUGUAAAAAUAAUAAAAAUUAAAAAAAAAAUUGGGCCUCAUCUAACCUUAAAAAUUAGAAAAAAUUAUAAUGGACCGUGUGCAAAUGCACUUCCAGCACAGGGUCAGAGCCGGGCCUGACAAGGGUCCUUGGACAAAAAAAGUUUUAAAGCCCUACAGUAAGUUAAUUUGUUAACGCUGGUAAAAAUUCCUUUAUGACUCGAGCAUCAAACAUUUAUAUAUAUAUAUUCUCUUAGAUAAUUUAACUAGAAGAAAAUGUGAUUAAACGUUUUAAUACUGUUCAAAUCUAAAUCAGAUAUGCUAAUGAAGACAAUUAGGACCCUUAAUAUUGUAAAAUUUGAACCGGAUCCGGGGCGGUCACACCGUCCGCACUCUCUAUUGAGCCGGCACUGGUAACAAAUUUUGAAAAUAAACCUAUAAAAGCAUUUUCCCUAUCAUAAAAUCAACUCAACACCCUAAGAGCAUCAGUAGUAGGAAUCCCUCACAUAGUACUUGUCCAGGAAGGAAGCAGGAGAAGCACCAGCUUCCAGACUUCUUUAAGAUAAAUAAAUAUAUGCCUUUGUUUUUAUAAAGUUUUCAUUAGUUCAACCGGCAAAAUAGGUUCCGGCAAUUUCUAAGUUGCUGUUCAUGGGUUUGAACCUAUGCAGCUACCUUUUUCUUCCUUAUUUUUUCUAAAUUAUUUCGAUCCAAUUAUUUUUAAAGCUUCCGGUCCAAAUGUCUUUUACAAAUUUCAGGAAAAUGAUGAGGGAUUUUUUCCACUUAUCAUCUAGCAAGUGAUUAGAAUUUAUUUUUAUUUUAAGUUUAUUUAUUUAACUAAUUUAUGAUUAUUAAAUGAUGAAAGAGCAAAUUAGCUCAAUAUACUGAAAAGAGUGGGAUACCAUUGAAUUGUGGAAAAAUGGUAAUGAUGAGGGAAAAAAAUUGAAGGGAAAUAGGGUAUGGAGUGCAAAUAGAGGGGAAGUUGUGUGUAGAGAGUACAAAUUCUCAUGAUGAAAUAAUAUGGGAAGAGACUUACCCACUGCUACUAGACGAUGAAAUUAACAACAGUGAGCAAUUGCUGUAAGUUAAAUCUGAUUUAGUGCUCAGCUGAACUUGACCAGCCCAAAAGUUAAAUAAACCUCAGCAGAUAGUAUUUAGUUAUUUACUCAGGUUGCUUUUUUUUUUGUUCACUUCUAAAAUAAAAAAUAAAUUUGAGAAAAUAAUUAAUAAAAAAUAAAUAAUAAAUAAACCUCAGAUGAUAGUAUUUAGUUAUAAACCUUAACUUCUAAAAUAAAAGAUCAAUUUAAUAUGGAGAAAAUGACCAUAAUAGUCCUUUUUGUUUCAAAUUUUAUGAUUUUGAUUUUUGAUUUUUUAAAAUUUGCAACCAUUUCCUCAAAAUUCCACCCCUUUAUUCUAAACCAUAAGUCUAGAUUAGUUAACUCUACAAUAUAAAUGUAUUUUUACUCUUUAAUAAAACUUUUUUGAUCAUUUUUCUCAUUGAGAGAUAUUUUAAUGACAAUAACUUAAAAAUGGCUAUCCUAGAGAAUUUUAUAUAUUGUAUAUUUAUUUAUUCUAAUUUUCUUUAUUUUAUAUCAAAUGAGAAUAUGACGAUAGAUGUUUACUUAUUAUUGUUUAAUGUAUUAUUUCUAUUCUUUAUAUUGUAUAUUUACUUAUUUUUUUUUAAUAUUUAUAUUUACUUAUUAUUUUUUUAUAGUAAUAAUUCCACGUGGCUUCUUUCGGAAGAAAUAUUUUUUGUUGAUGUGGACGCUCUGUGUAGCCUCAAAAUGUCUCUUUUAUUAGUAUAUAUAUACAUUAGUUUUUUUUGUUUUUUUUUUGGAUUUUUAAAGCUAAAACCCCUCAACUAAGUUUGUUUUGGAUAAAAACUCUCAAACUAAGUAUUUACUGAAAAAGCUCUUAAACUAACUUUAUUUAAUGAAUUAAACCAUAACAAGUCAUAAUUACCAUUACUACCAGUAAAUCUUUGGUUUAGGGGUUAGUUAAAGGGUUUUACCAUUAAAAUAAAAUCAAAAUCAAAAUUUUAUAAUAUUAUCUAAAAAUUAGUAACUUAAAUUUUCAAAAUUAGCAUUUUUAAUUUGUUUCUGUAAAUAUAUGAGUUGGAUGUGUUUUUAACAUCAACAUUAUAUAUGUAUAAAUUAAAAAUGAAAUAACCGAGAAAAUACAAUAAAAUUAUAUAAAGAAUUUAGACGCAGUAAAACUUUCUUCCCUAACUUUCGGAUCAUGCAUAUUCUAAGAGCAUUCAAAACUAUGGCGUACAAGUUUGCACGUGGUGCGAGGAGUUCUCCUUCAGCUAUAUUAUAUGUCGAUUCAAUACUUUCGGUUUGGCUUUCUGAAUCGCGCGGUCUAGUUACUUAGUUCUCGCUUAUGUUGUAAAAAAAAGUUACUAAUUAUUAAAUAUUAGUAUAAAUUUUGAAUUUUUUGGUUUUAAAAUUUUUUAAUGGUAACACCCUCUCAACUAUGUUUAAUUAAUGUAGAAAUCCCUAAACUAAAGAUUUACCGGUAGUAAUGGUAAUUAUGACCUGCUAGGUUUAAUUCAUUAAAUAAUGUUAGUUUGGGAGUUUUUUUGUUAAGUACUUAGUUUAAGAGUUUUUACCCAAAAAAACUUAGUUGAAGGGUUUUAACAUUAAAAAUCCUUUUAUUUUCAAUAUAACUAUUCGUCUAAUUGACCUUUUUAAAUAUAGCCAAUUCUCCAAAUAGGUCAUUUUAAGUUUUUGUCAUAAAAUAGCUCUCAAAGAGGAAAAUGACCAAAAAAUUUUUUUUUUGUUUUGAAAUUUUUUAUUUUUUAAAAAAUUGGAAACCCUAUCCUGAAAACCCUACCCCUUAAUUCUAAGCCCUAAGUCUAGAUUGGUUAAUCAUAGGGUAUAAAUAUAUUUUUACUCUUUAAUAAAAGUUUUUUGGAUUAUUUUCUUCUUUAAAUACUAUUUUGUGAAAAUAAACUAAAAAUAGAUAUUCUAAGAAAAUUCUCUUCAAAUAUCCACAAACCGAAAAGGAAUAUAUUUAAUUUUAGUUAUGAUGUUAAUAAAAUGUAUGCUAAGCCAAAAUUAGUGUAGUUCCCGAAAUGGUGACUGUAUAGAGUAUACGUGAUUUGGUUCAAUUGGUUCUUUUGACAUAAAAUGUAACUAGAGAUUGACCCGCACGCCCGUGCGGGUGUUAAUUUUUACGGUUUUAUAAAUUAUUUGUUAUUUUAUCAUUAGUGUUAUAUAUUUAAGAUGCGUCGUCGUAUAACCAAUUGUAUUCAAAAUAUUUGGAUUGAAUCGGGUAAUAAGAUUAUUUUUGGUACAAAUAUACACUCUUUUCAGAUACAUUGGUUAAUUAAAUAUUUUUAUAUUUCUACACAUCAAAAUCAAAAUCAUUCAGACCCGAGAGGAUCCAACUCAAGCAUCAUACAUAAAUUUAUAAUAUCCAAGUGGCGCCUAAUUUAAAAAUCCAAAAAAUUAAUCCCGAAAGAAACAACUUGUACCUCAAUGAGUAUCCGAAUGUCCAUACUUAACUGAUUUUGCAAAUAGAUUAAAAAGGAAACUCUUUCUAUAUAUUUGGCAAAAAUAAGAAAAAUAGAAAGAAUUUUUUAUUUAAUAAAAUAGUUAUAUGAAGUGAAAUAUUAAGUGAUAAUAAAUGUAAUACUUUUUAAUUAUUUUGAUUUAAAUUAUUAUCUUGUUCAUAUAAACUAUGCAUUUGAAUUAUGUGUUUUGCUAUGUAAUUUUUCACCAAUUGGAACUAAGACAAAAGAAAGUUUUAGUAAAACAUAUUAAACCAAACUAUUAACCAUAUGCAAAACUCGGUUAUCUUACAUUUUUAUUUUUUUUAUAAUUGCACAAAGUUAAUAUUGAUUAACUAAUAAAUAAAAAUCUACAUUAUUACUUUUACGGUAAAUAUAAUUAAUGAUGUGAUAUAUUGUUAAAGUAAUAUAAUUAAUGAAAUUACUAAAAUAAAACUAUACUUAUAUUUUUAUACAUUAAUAUUUGUUUUUCAUAAUUAGUGUUUUAUAUUUUAGAUAUGUCGUAAUAUAACUAAUUGUAUUCAAAAGAUCCGGAUCGAAUCAGAUAAUAUGGUUAUUUUUGGUACAAAUAUCCAAACCCGUUUCAAAUACAUUGGUUAUUUAGAUAUUUUAGGGUCAUAUACAUCAGAACCAAACUCAUCCAGACUCAAAAGGAUUCAACUCAAAACCUACACAUAAAUUUAUAAUAUUCAAGGAGUGAGUAAUUUUAAAACAAAAUAAAACGAUACACGAAAGGAACGACUCGUACCUAAGUGGAUAUUUAGUGUUCAUGCCUAACUGAUUUUAUAAACUAAUAUAAAUGAUAUUUUUUAUGUGUUUUGCUAAAUUAAGUGAAACUGAAAGAGUUUUUUUAUUUAGUAAGCAAUUAUAUUGAGUGAAAAAUUAAGUGACAAUGAAUGUAAUUCAUUUUUAUUAUUUUGAUUUAAGUUAUGAUUUUAUUCACUAAACAUGUUUUUGAAUUAUGUUUUUGGCUACGUAAUUUUUCACUGAUUGAAAAAAAAAUGUUAUAGUAAAACAAAUUAAAACAAACGCUUAACCUUAUGCAAAACUCAGUUAUUUUACUUUUUUUGAUUUUAUAAUUGACACAAAACUAAUAUUGAUUAACUACUAAAUAAAAUCUACACUAUUAUUAUUAUGGUAAUAUAAUUAAUGAUGUGAAAUAUUGUUAAGACAAUAUAAUUAAUAUGAGUGAAAUAUGGAAAUACAAUUAAUGUAGUACUGCUAUCUUCGUUUCCAAACAAUUUUCAGUUAUAGUACUAUUCAUGUUUCCAAACAUUACUAAAGUGUACUUCAGUUUUAAUAAUAUAGAUAUCAUUUCCUCACUAUUUUCCUCAAACGCAUUAAUAUAUUACUAGAUAGAAACAUGAGAAAUGAUGCAAGCUUCACUUUAAAAUAUUUAGCUAGUACCAAUAAUUUUCAUUGUUUAUUCGAUCUUCCUCAACAAUAGGAAACAAGAAGUACAAACUUGGAAUAAUAAGGAAAUUAAAAAUUACUAAGAACAAGAUUGAUUUAAUACGAAUGAUCCAGCUUUUGAUCCUUCUCCAAUAUACGCUUUAAUUUUGACUCUUGAGGAGGUCUUACAGGGUAACGCUAGGGAACUUGCAUUGUUCAUUUCCUGUAGAAAAUAGUCAUUACAAUCACAGAGUAUUUAAAUUAUUAAGAAAUGAUUAUUUAUUUUCUUAAAGUAUUAGACAAGAAUUAUAAGUUAAUAAAAGCUUACCUGGGUUGGUCGUGGUCUCACGCGCCAAGCCGUUGAAGUAGCACUGGGAGCUUUGGUUCCGGAACUGAGCCCAGUACGAGCUAAAUGCAUAGCUUGCGUGCCAAGUAACCGAAACUGGUGCGUAACACUCUCUUCCCGGUGCCAAAGCUGCACAUGUGGCAUUGCUUCUUCCACAAGCAAAGUCAAGCGCCUGCCCUAACUCCGUCUCGUUAGCUCCUUCUACCGCCACACACCACACGUUGCCCUUGAACGGAACAUUGUUAUUUGGUUUAGGCAACGAACCAAGACUAGAAACCGGUCUUGUCCCACUCAAAUCAAUAUCGUAGAUCUGUGUACCGUCAGGAUUCAAAAUUCCCCAAUGCCUCUCUGUUCCUGAACCGGGUUUCCGGUUUUCAUUGAAUAAUGAGAACAAAAACGUCGGUAUUGGUGAACCGCGUCUAGCUGGUGUACCGAGUGGCGGGUUAGCAGUCAUCUUCUUGAUCAAAUUCCGGUUAUAAGUUGCGGCAUUGAAAAUGUUGGCUCCGGUUUCGUCGAUAUCACCGGAGUUAGGCCACCCGGUUUCAGAGAUUGCAAGACGGACGUUGGGGUAGCCGAGCUUGGUCAUCGCGAAGAUAACCGAAUCGAGCAUCUGGUCUAAUAGAUUGGUGUAAACCAAACCGGUUUGGGGAUCGGUAUAAGUUGAAUUCGAUUCGAACAGAGCGAAAUCCAAAUGGUUGUUAACCGGAUCAGUGGACCAAGGGAAGUAAGGGUAGACAUCAAGGAAGAAGAAAGAGUUUGUUCCGUUGAGAAACUUCAGCAACGGUAACAUCACCGGAGCGGCGACUUCUUCCCGGAAUGUUCCAUUGGACGGAGGAAAACUCGACCGGAGAACAUCCAUGGCGAGUGGUGUUCCGACUUUGAUGUUGUGAAUGCCUCUUGCUCUAAGAGAGUUCACGAUCUUACGCAUGGCCGGGACAAGGUUCGCCCAUAUUUGCUUGUCUUGGUCGGAGUUGUAGCUGAGAAUUUCGUUUCCGACAAGGACGAACCGGAUUCUUGUUUGUGGGUAGUGAGGAAGGACGUUGGUGUUGACCCAGUUGUCUGCGGCUGCUUGGUCGGCACCGAUGGAAAUGAUUUGGUUGUUAGGGACCAUGAUUGUGACGUAGAGAUUGGUCUGAGAGAGGAGCAUUAGGGUUUCUUGAUCGGCGUCGUAAAGCUUAACGUGGCCUGCUUUAAUGGAUUUGACGAGGUUGAUUGAUUGGUAAGGAGAUGGGAGAUUGUUACCUAAUCUUCCGUAGUUGAUACCAAUCCUGCUUGCAAGUGAUAACAAUGUUUUGUUGUUCUGUGGACCAAUUGCGUAGCUACAUGAACCUGUAAGAAGAAGACAAGAGUAUGGUAAAUACUAGUGAAAGAGUCUUUGGUCAUCGAAUCAUAAUGUAUUAAGUGCAAGGAGACUUACUUGAAAGGGCAACGAGAGUGAAAAUGAACAGAGCAAAAAAAGCCAUUGGAAACAAAAUGUUGUUGAUAGGAGAGGGAUGAGAUGAUUUUGGGAUGAAGGAAAAGAGAUUUGUUGAAGCGGGUAUUUAAGAGAAUACUAAAGGAUUUUGUUUUAAGGAUUAAGAUAUAGCAAAUCAUGCAAGAAAAGCUUCUGAUCAAACUUUCUUGAACUUUCCCAGUUCUUUGGUGUUUAUUUUCUUCUUUUGUUUAUAAUUUGUGUAUUAGAAGACUGGUUGGUUGGCUUGUUCAAAGGAGACCAAGAACCUCUUUGCCAAAUUAUUCAAUCAAAAACUAUAAACGUAAUACUAAUUGUUCAUUUUAGUUAUUGCUCAUAAAUUAAAAUAUUACUUUCAUAACAAUGUUAAUUACAUGAGUAGGAAGAAAUAUUUUUUCUAUUACAAUGCAUCCGUCUGCAUUUUCCCGGUUUCGAGUUACUUGUAGUUUUUUUUUUUUUCUUGUUUUUGCUAAGAAUGUUAAUAUCAUUGAAAAUGAAAGAUCAGUCUACAAAGUAGUUAAUCUAUACGAAACAAAGCCCUGGCAAAAAAGAAAUAAGAACAGGGAUUUGAUAGUUUUUGGGGAUAGAAAGGAGUUCUGAAGAAGUUCUAGAGAAUCCAGAUGCAACAUCAGUGGAUUAGAUAAGCCAAAUAGACAAAAGGUUUCUGAAUUUCUUCUUGUGCCUUAGUGCAUAAAUGGAGUUGAUAACCUGCCUGUUAAUAUCCUUGAACACAAAACAAGCGGGGAAGUGAUGCAGUUGGUAUGGAGCAUGUUAUUGCACUGUCGCCAGACAGAGUAAAUCAGUGACUGAACCACGAGCAUCUCUAACACCAAAACCACCAAAGUCUAAUCUAAUCCAAGAUGAAAACAAAAAAACGUGCAAGUUCCAAUCUCCGACUCAAAUACCAACACGAGCAAACUCAAACAUUCAUGGGUGAUCUGCAGCUACAAAUACGGAUUAUGUUUGGGGCCAACCACGUUUGGUGUUCAUCUUGCAUGAUACGCAACCGAUACAAAAUUUUAAAGAGAAAAAUAUAUAGAUGAAUACAUGGAGAUGGUCUCAGUCUAUCACUGGACACACAUACAUUAUGAUACAAAUCUCAACGUUUAUCCAAUUUUUAGAAUACAUGGAGGCACCAACAGUAGGAAUUUGGGUGUGGCUGUCUCCUUCUCUCAAUUAGUAAACUCCCUGAAAUUUCUUAGAUACAUAUUUAUCUGAGGAAUUGCUGUAUACAUUUUUUUUGUCUUGGCCUUUGAUUUGGGUAAAAACAGAACUAUUUUGUGAAUGAGAUAUAUCUUUCAGUUUUUCUAUGGUUGAUUAAGUUAAGGUAAAAACUUAUAUCAUAGAUCCUUUUGAAAUAUAUGCUAAUAGGUGUUUUCUUGCACCAUGUGCAGUAGUAAAAUUUUAAAUUUAAAUAAUUUUUAAAUAUAAAAUUUAUUGUUAUUUUCGAUUUUAUUAUUUUCUUACCAAUAUUUUAUAUAAAUUUUAAUUUAAUUAAACAUAUAAUUAAAAUAAAAUAAACAAUUUUGUUUAUUUUAAAUUAUAUUAAAGAAUAGAUAUGUAUAUAUUUAAAAUUAUAAUCAUAGAUAAAUUUUCUAUUUAUUUCUUUUGGAUAAAUAUAUUAAAUCAACUUGUAUAAAAUUAUUCAAAAAAUUGAUACAAAAGUUGUAUAAUUACCAAAACGUACAACUAAACAAUAUUUCUAAAGUUUGUAGAUAUAUAAAAGAAGCUGAUAAUAUUAUGAUUAAAAUUUAUAUUUUUUAAAAAAAUUGUUAAAAAAAUUGAAAAUAUUUUUAGCAAUAAAAUUUUAUAAUUAUAAAAAUCAAAAUAAACAAUAUUUCGAAAUUUGGAAAAUAAUAUUAUAUUUUUAUUAUUAUAUUAUUUAAUGUCAUAUUUGGCUGACAAAAAAUGUCAUAUUUGGCUGACAAAAAAUGUCAUAUUUGAAUGAUUUACUUUAAUUAUGAUGUAUAAUUUAUUAACAUAUUCUAAAACGUUUACCAAAAAUAUAAAUAAACAUUACUGAUGAUUGUCCAUGUCACAUUUAGUCAUAAGCCAUGUUGUCAUUUCUAGUAUGCAUGAUUCAUUUUUAUUUAGUGAAAGUAAUUUUUAGAGAGAACAUGUGUCAAAAUUACUUUGCAAAUAAUAUCUAGGUGAUUUGAGUUUUUGAAUUUAGUAAAGAGAAAAAAACUUAGAAAAAGCAAAAAUAUUUAUUGACUAGGGUUAAUUUUUCUAAGUAACCGAUUUUGAAAGUAAAAUAAAGAAUCUAUACUAUUAAAGCAGGAUCCUAUUGUCAUAAUUACCUUAGCCUGCCCUUUCCUUUACUAACAUUGUAUGUUUCAUUAAGAGCAAUCAAAUAAUAUUAAUAACACAUCUAUAUUGGGUCAUUAUUUUCGGAUCCAGCCCACAUCAAAUCUCUCUUGGGCCAUUUGGGCCUAUUAAAAAAUCAGAUUCAAUUCUCACUUUUUUUUUUCUUUUGGAUCAUUGAGUCCAAGUUCAAAUAAUUUUUUUUCAACUAUUUUUAAUUAUUAUUUUUUUUCUUUUCUUAAUAUAAUUUAAGCAUUCAUAAAAAUAAUUGAAUUUUUUUAUUGAAAAGUAUAAAUCUUUAUUAAAAGUAUAUAAUUUUUUUAAUUAAAAUAUUAACCACAUAAUAAAAUUAAUUUAUCAGAGUUAUACCAACUUAAUUCAUUAAAAAAAUAAAGUUUAAUUUUUUAAACAUAAAUAGUCAUUUAAAAUAAAAUACGAUAAAUAAAAAUAAAAAUUUUAAGUCUUUUAUAAAAUAAAGUACAAAUAUAUGAAAAUGUGACAUUUACUAAACAUUUUUCAAUUGAAAAAAAAACAAAAAUAAACCCGCGCUUUGAAAGCGCGGAUCAAAAUCUAGUAUAGCUAUUAUUUUGACAUAAUUCAACCAAUAACAUCUAGCCUUGAAGUCAUAUAUAUAAAUUGUUUAAAAAAUAAUCUUUAUAAUACAUAUUAAUAUCUAAUUUUUUUUGAUAAUUAUUUAUAAGAAUAUAUAUAGUAGUACAUUGAGAUUUUUAUUUUGUAAAAAGUAGAUGUCGUAUUAACCCACAUGCCUUUAUAAGGCUUCACUAUUUUACCUUUAUCUAGCUAUGUUCCAAAUUUUAUUUGCACCCUUAAAAAAAUCUAUAAAUUAAUAAUAAUUUUAAAUUUUUUUGAUCAAAUUAUGAUAACUUUUAACUUUAAGUUUAUUAAGUUAUAAUAAUAAUGUAAAAAUUUAGGUUUUAAAUAUUUUUUAAAAUAACAUUUUAUUACACGUACAUAUAAAUUAGAAUUUAUCUAUUUAUUAGAUUAUUUGCUAGAUUUUCAUACAUAUAUAUAUAUAUAUAUAUAAUAUGUACAAUAAAAUAUAAACGUAUUUUGGAUGUGAUUUGUUAAAACUAAGAGUUAGAGAUAUAUUACACUUGAAGACAGAUAAUAUACUUUUAUUUAUCUUUAUAUAAUAAUUACUAAUUUAUGAUUUUAACGUAAUCAUAUAUUUAUUUUUAAAAUUCUAACUUUUAUUAUCUUAUCAAAUUAUGUUUUAUAUUAUAAUGAUGUAAUGUAAGGUCAGAAAAAAUAAUUAUCCUAUAUAUUUAUCAAUUUAUAAAAUACUAAUUUUUAGAUUUUAUAUUUAUAAAAGUUGUUGUCAUAACAAAUUACUUUAGCAAUCAAUAAAAUUAAAAGUGGAUCAUGAGUCUGUUGUGUUUAUGUUGAUAGACAAAAAAAAAAAGAAGUUAAAAGUGGAUCUGACCACAUUCAAAAAAAAAUAUUUUGAAUUUUAUUAUCUGUGGCUACUUCAUGCCAUCACAUUGAGAACAUUUGAGAACUAGAUAGAUUUGUGUCUAUAAAAGACCUUACUGAAACAUAAACUUGAAAUAGCUCAAGAGAGAUUUAUUAUGCAAGCAACUUAAAAGGAAAGAAGAAGCUUUUAAGAUGUCACCAAGAUAAAGAUAAUGUUUUGACUGAUACUCAUAAAUGGGAAAGAGAGGCUGCUCACUACGCAGCCAAAGUCACAGACAUUAACCAUAUAGAGAUAUAUAUAUAAUCCUUAGAAACCCUAGUUACAUGAGCUUAAGGAGAUGAUUGGCUGUGGUUGUAGAUACUCCGGACAGCCAAAAUUUAGUCUAGAGCUAUAUAUGUCAACCAAUCGAGUUUUUCUUUCCUUAAAAAACUCACAGCAAAAAAAAAUCUCUGCAAAAUCAAAAUAUGGCUGUAGAAAGCUUUAUUUUCAGAGCAUAAAAUUAGUGCUUUAGAAAGCUACAUCAAUGAAAGCUACAACAAAUAAAUCUACAGAUUAAAUUCCACAGCAAAAAUUAUAAAGCUACAGUUUUUACCAAUCAUCUUCUAAGUAACGGGCUUGCGGUCUUUAAAUGGGUCUCGCUAAUACACAUAAUAAAUUAUGUUUUGUUUUUUGUUUUGUUUUUUCUUAAAAAGAAGCAAAAGAGUUAUAAACGUGAAGAAAACAACGUCAAAAUAAUAUGCACCGAAACUUGAUAUUUUGCGUUAUUAUUUAUUAUGUGGAGCCCACAGUCACUAUGCACGCACAUUAUUUUUUUCUUUUUCACUUCUAUAUAAGCGAUCGUUUCGAUCAAUUGUAACACACCAUCCCUUCUUCUUUUUAUAACACAUUUUAUCUCGUUGUCAUCUUGUAUCAGUGUUAUUUCCUUCUUGAGGGUAUAAAAUUUUGCUCUUAUUUAAAUUUCUCGAUACUAUAAAAUUGUAAGUUAUUUCAUAACAAAAAUAGAAUUUAUUAUGUGAUGGUAUGAUAGAGCCAGUAGGAGAAUAUUAUGUGGAUGUCAUGAAGGAUAACUUGGUUUUUUAUGCUACACACAGGGCCGACUUAGAUAGAAGGCGAACGGUGCGACCGUCCCUGGGCCCAAUCCGUUGCCCUCUAUUUUAUUAAUAGAUAAAGCCUGAUUUUUUUAAAAAAAUUAUAUGUAUUUUUAUUUCAAAAAUAAGAAAAAGGGCCCAAAUUUUUUUAUAUGAAAGUAUUUUUUUUAUUUCUAUAGAUUUAUUUUUAAAAAUGCUUUUGGUAUUUUAAAAAAAAACAUAUAUCUAUCAGAUUUUUAAAAAAAAAAUAUAAUAGGUUGGAAAUUAAAUUUUUUUUUUACCCUAGGAUCUAUGACACCAUUGAACCGAUCCUUGGCUACGCAUGGUGAAGUGACCAAAUGACCGUGGCACAUGUUAAGUGGUUUCUAAAAGUAUUUAGACAGACCAAAAAGUUUUAUAGCCUUUAGACGUUUUUGUCCCCGUAUUAAGAAAAGGAUCAGAAGUCUAUUAGCUGGCUUGCAAUUCCUUUUGUCCUAACCACAGCCCUCUCUACCAAAUAAGCAUAUGGCAAAAUAGUCGUAUAAAAUGUUUUGCAACGCACGUCACAUAGAACGUUCACUGCCACAAGCUGCAACGAGAAAUGCUUAUGCAACGUGUGAAUAAGGCGCAAGAAAUUUUUCAGAUAUUGGCAGCUCGUUUUAUUUUUUACAUGAAAAUCACUUUUAUAUAUGAAUGGAAGAAGUAAAAGUCAAUUAUGAAGAACUUUUUAACACGUCGUGAACCCUAGAACUUUUAUAAAUAACAUAGAACUCUAGCUUUUUCUAGCAUUUUAUACCAAAAAAAAAACAUAAAUCCACCUUUUAUGCCUUUUAAAAAUAUGAAAAUAACGGGAACAUAGUAACAUGCUUCUUUGGUUCUUUACUUUUUUUCUUUCUUUUUUAAUUACGUUGGAUCUGACUUUUAACAUUCUUUAGCAUCACCCAUAUGCAUAUGCUUGAUGCUUCAGCUAAAGUUGUAGACUUGUAGCUGUUGUUUCCAUAUCAAUUUCCAGCCCAGUCUAUGCUCUCCUUUCUCCAUCUUUAUUUUUUAUAAUACUUUCCUAACCAUAAAUAUUCCCUAAAAGAUCGGACUCGUUUUAUACCAUCUUUAGUAAUUUAUAAACUUUAUAGUAAGUGCUUAUAAUAUUAACCUUAAUUAAUGUCAUAAAUUCUAUUUACAUUUUGUUGGCGAAUUUCUUAACUGUUUCCUAAUUAAAUUUUCACUUGAAAUAAGACAUUCUCCUCAUAUAUUAAUUGUUCUAGUAUAUCAAAACCAAAAGGAAAAAACAAAUAGAUAAAAUUCACAAAACCAAACAAAAAUGUAUGAUUGGAGUUUAUCAAUAGAAUAACCGCCCUAUUAUUAUCCAAAAUUUGAGCCAUGAUAGGUGGCAAAAUGGCAAAUAAGUCUUUGGCUUCUAUAGCUUUACAAUGAAACACAGCCUGUUAAACUUAACAAAUGAUUGAGACGUUUACCUUUUUAAAGUCAUAUCCGUUUAACGCGGCAGAACUUGUUUUCUUUCAAAACAACAAGAAUUUUGUCAACAUCUAUGCCAAAAUUCUAAGUCAUGGCUUAUGUAAUAUAACACUUCAAAGUAGGUAUACUAGUUUCUCUUUUCUUCCAGAAAACCAAGCUACGUAAAAUACAAUUUCCCUUAAAAAGAAUGAACAAACGCAAAAGCUCAAGUGGUCAAACGCAAAUACAACAUAUAUGUGCUUACAAUAUAUAUAAAUAAUCAUCAUUUCAUAUAAAGACAAAAAAAUCCCAAAAGGAAGAGCUUAAGUAACAUCGAUUUGAUACACAUAGAGAGUUUGGUGUCACCGACCAUCAGCAGAAUCAAACGUGUUAGGGAAACCAGAAGGCUUUGGAGGAAUACUAGACUGUGUCUGAGAGUAAGAGAAGUCUCCAUGGAACAUUGACGUCGAUGUUCCUUCGUUUUGCUGCCAUCUCUGUAGAGCUUGAGGUAAACUCAUGUUGUUCACAUCGAUCCCGAAACUCUCUUCUUCUUCUUGGCACGACGGUUUCCACUUCUCUACCAGUGGACCUAGCACGUUAACCGCGUGGCCCAUGUCUGGUCUUUGUUGAGGCUCACGGGCUGUACAGUGUCCUGCUAGCUCAGCAACCCUGUGAAUGCUCUCCAAUGUUUCCUCGUCUGCCUCUAAUGUUUGGUCGAUCGCCUUUGGGAUGUUUUCUUUAUUGAUAAGGAUUCUUCUGAACCAUGUGACUAGGUGGGAUCUCUCGUCCGGUAAUGAAUCAUCUAAUGCUUUUCUUCCUGUUAUCAUUUCCAUAAGAACCACUCCAAAUGCAUACACAUCCACUUUCGUCGUUACUCUUCCAGUAGCUGCAACCAUAUUAUAACACACACCUCAGAUAAACAGAUUAAAAAAUCAACAAUCCAAUGGCAGAAUGUAUAAAGCCCUUUGCAUAGUACCAUAACAAACUAGGCACAUUGUGAAAUUAACAUGAUUUAGACUUGGGCAGAAUCAACUUACCGGCGUAUUCAGGUGCUAGAUAACCGAAUGUGCCUGCUAAUCUCGUCUCAACGGAGUAUUUCCCAUCAGGUGCGUUCUUAACCAAUCCAAAAUCAGCAACCUUUGCCCUCAUAUCAUCACCAAGAAGGAUGUUAGAGGGUUUUAAAUCUCUGUGGAUGAAGCUCUGCUGAGCCAAGCUAUGGAGAUAUUCAACACCCCGUGCCACGUCUAGAGCGAUACUCACCCUUUGUUUCCAUGUCAGAGGAGAGUAACCGAGUUCACCGUACUCAAACAAAUGCUGUCCAAGAUUACCCUGCGGCAUGUACUCAUAGACAAGCAAUCUCUCGUUCCCGUUCACACAGUAACCCAACAGCGCAACCAAAUGUCUAUGCCUGACCUUAGUGAGCACAGCUAUCUCGGCCUGAAACUCGUUCAUUCCUUUAUUACCCAUUGCUGAACAUUCCAUCCUCUUGACCGCAGUCUUGGUCCCAUCGUGUAACUCUCCAGCGUACACAACACCAAAACCGCCUCUUCCCAAUAUGUUAGCCUCGCUGAAGUUAUUAGUAACUUGACGAAGAACCUCCAUCGGAAUGGUAACGCUUCCCCCUUCAAGAAGGAAACGCUCGCUAUUGUCACCACUACUAGGACUGUUCAAAGCAUUGAAGUUAUUAGCUCCUCCACCAUGUCCAUUCCCAUUACCAUUAGACGCAGCAUCACUAACCAAAACCUUCCCUGCAUUCUCAGGAUCCGUCGUCCUUCUGAACUUCCCAUACUUCUUCUUCAUCACAAACUUGUAAACCACAAAUCCUAAAAUAGCAAGAAAAACAAGAACCGCCACGAUCACACCAAUGAUCACAGGAGCCUUACUACCACCACCACCACCACCGCCACCACCAGAAGACCCACCACUACCACCACCGCCUUUACCACCAGCCCCCGGACUAGAAGAAUCUCCAGCAUCAGUUCCCAACAAAACAUUACCCGGUUUGUAAGUAAACUUAACCGGAUCCGGAAACUUCAAAAUCUCACCAGUGAGGUUGUUGUUCGAGACAUCAAUUAGACUCAAGCUAGGCAUAGAGGUCAACACCUUAGGUAUAUCACCGGUUAAAUUGUUGUCGUUAAGGUAAAGGCUCUUGAGGGAAGUGAGAUUCACAAUCGCCGGAGAUAUAAACCCUUGGAAUCCAUGUUUGGCAAGAUUCAAGGUGACAACUUUCCCAGCUGAACAUGUCACAUAAGCCCAACUGUUACAAGCAUCGUUCCCUUGCCACGACUCAGCCAACAUCGACGGAUACCCCAAGCCUCCGGCCACCGCUAAAAGCGUCGCCACCUGAGCAUCACACGCCACUCCGGGUUUGGUAGUGCAGAAGUAGUUGUGAUCAUCAGUUACUUUCUCAACCGCCGGCGGGAACGAAGGAAGAGGACCUUGGAACUUGUUGUUGUCUAACGAAAUGUUCUUGAGGCUCCCGAGUGGUAACAGCGUCGUGGAUACGACUCCGGUUAACUGAUUAUCUCUGAGCUGGAGAUCGAAAAGGUUCUCGCUCUUCGAGAGAUCUGGAAUCGGACCGGUGAAUUGAUUCUUCUGAAGCCACGCUUGCGAUAACGAAGUCAUACCGGAGAGUACUUCGAUUGAACCGGAUAAACCGGAUAACUGGUUAUUGAUCCAGAGAUUCUGAAUCGAAGAUUUGGCCAGGGAAGGAGGUAACGGCCCCGUGAUGUUGUUGUAUGAUAAGCGGAGGUUUUGGAGAGAAGCGAAGUUCUCGAAGAUGUCAGGCAAUGCGCCGGAGAUGGUGGUGUUGUCGAGGUAGAUGGUGGUGAGGGAAGUCGAUUCCGCGAGCUCCGAAGGGAAGCUCCAAGGGGAGAGGUUAGGGUUAUCGCUCAUACUCAAGAUCUGGAGGCUGGUGAGUCCGGCGAAAGCUCCGGGCUCAACUCCGUCGAAGAGAUUCGAGUCGAUGUAGAUCUCUUGAAGAGAGGCGAGCUUCGCGAAGGAAGGGAUCUUACCGGUGAGCUUGUUGCGCUGCAGAGUGAUCGUCUUGAGCUCGGAGAGAGUCGAGAUCUCGGGAGCUAAGCCGCCGGAGAGAGACUUAUCCUCGAGGUUGAUUGAGCUGACGCGGUCCGAGCUGCACCUCACGCCGGACCACUUGCAGUAGCCGGUGGAGGAGGUGGUUGACCAGUCUGACGGCGGAGGACUGAGUGAUUUCGCUAGAGCAAGCAUUGCUGCUCCGUCGUCUGCGGUGGUUGCGGUGAGGAGAGAGACGGCGAAGAGGAGGAGGAGGAGGAGGAGAGGCGUGGGAGCCUCCAUGGGUUAGAGAACACGCGCGGCGCGUGGAGUGGAGGAAGGAGGAAGAAGGUAGGGUUUCGUAGAGAGUUUUGGAGAGAGAGAGAGAGAGAUGAGGAAUGGAAGCAAGCGCAGAGUGAGGUGUCAUAAGCUGUUCAACAGAUCAUUGCUAUUAUAAACGUAACCAUUUCCAUUCUCUUCCGUCCCGUUCCGUUACCCUCUCCUUUUUUUAAUACUAUUAUUGUUUUUAUAUUAUAUGGUAGAUUGGUAGUUCUCUUUUUUCUUUCAACUGAUUGGUAGUUCUCUCCAUAUGGAAAAAAAAACUGAAAAUACGCGUUUGUAGUGUCUAUUUCCAUAAACAAAAAUUGUAUGGACUUUAUAUAGAUUAUUUAAAGCUCUAAUAAUUAAAUAACGAUAUUCCGUUUGAAUAUAAAUAAAAACAAAACAAAACUGAUUGAGAUAAUUAUUGCGGCGGGUGGUUGUAAUAAUGGAGAUAACAUAAUUGUGUUGUUGGCCGGUAAUUAACAAAUUUGGAAUACAAUGUAAGGCGGCAAUGGUUAAGGGGGUGUUAGUGGGGAUGAGAUUUAUAAUGAGUCUAAAUCUAGUGUUAUUGGUUUAUAGAUUCUCAUAUUCUCAUUAAAAUCUAUUGUUAUUGGUUUGAUGAUUCUAUAAUUCUAUACAAAAUCAUUUGUUAUUCAAAAAGUUUAGAUUUUAAUGAUUCUACAAAUCUAUUAAAGUAAGUGUUAUUGGGAGUUGAAUUCUUAUCAUUUUAACUCACAAAUUAAGAUUUUGAGAAUACUACAUGUUUACCUUGAAUUCUUAGAAUCAUUACAUUACUUUAUUUUCAUAGAUUUUCACAAUAUACAAAAUUCUCUACAUCUCUUUCCAAAUUUAACAAAUCUCUCAACUUUUAAAAUCAACAAACUCUAUAAAAAUCUAAGUCCCACUAACACCCCCAGUUUAUUUCUGUGUGCAAGGAUUCUUAACCAGGUCCAACCUAUUAGUGGUGAGGACCGCGAAUCCACGAACCUAUGGGUUCUAUACAAGGUGAUUCGAUCUACUGUCAAUUUUGAUUCAUUCCAAAAUAUCAUAUUCCCUCGUUUCCAAAAGUAAGAUGUUUUAAAUUUUUUACUUGUUCGACAAAGAUAGAUUUUUUAUAUAUUUAAGGUAUUUUUUAUACUUUUAAGAAAUAUUAAAUGAAAAUAUUUGAAUUUGAUUAAAUUUCAUUGGUGAAAAAUUAUUGAAAAUGUAUAACAAAGUAAAAGAAAAAUUAAAUUAUAAAUAUUUAUUGAAUUUUUAAUAAGCGUGAACAUUUUAGAAAAUCUUACUUUCAGGAACAGACGGAGUAUAUUUAUAGUUUUAUGCAUCAAAGUAAAUACUAAUAUAGAAUAUUAAUUGAAAACGGAAGAUUAAUUGUAUAUUUCAGUAAGAGGUUGUCACGUAAUCAUAAACCUCAGUUUAUUUACAAUAUAAUCUGUAGACCGACAAAUGCUCUUACCAGUUACCACAUCGCAAGGUCGCCGGGAACCCACUAACCUAUCCUUAAUAAUUAAGUGAUGACACAAAUCAAACAAUAAACUAUAUAUAUAUAAAAACAUUAAUUUUUUCUUUAUAAUUAAUUUUACAAAAAUGAAAACGGUUUACGAGAAUUCACGAACAUACAUGAGAGACAGACAGACCCAUACAGAUAGAAUUUGCUCACAGUGUAAUUAAUUGUGGUGCGGGGUUAUACAACACAAUAUAAAUUAAGUAAAAAAAUUAUUGUGCAUCAUGUGGUUACAAUAAAGUAUAUCAAAUGUGAACAAAUACUAGCAAGGGUGAGCUGUGUGUUUAUAUGGCUUAUUUAAAACAUCAGUGAGCUGUGACUAAAUCAUUCCUAAGAAUCUUAGCGGCGUUGCUGGAUUUUGGGAGAAAAUUAUUGUCCUAAAUUCAUGUCUAUCUAUAAUCCUGUGGCGUACUGCAUUGUCAUGUGUAUAAUGAUUUACGCACACAACAGUUUACGCAGUAGCUUUGUAUAUACAUGAAUGUAUAAAAUAAUUAAAAUGCAUUAUCAGCUUUUAUAUGUGGACGUGAGAAAAUUAGUAAGUAUAGUCAGCAUUGCAUGUGGCAGCCUAUUCAUGUGUCUGGCCAGUAAGAACUUUUCUCUUUUCUGAGUGCCCUGACCCAGAUUUGUUAUUGUUUCGUAGGCAGUGUUAGUGUCUCGUUAUUGAUGACCAUAUGGUCUACUUGACACUACAUUUUAUAAAAAUACAACUUUUUAAUCUAUCCACAAGGGCUGGCUCAUGAGCUUCCCUUAAUGGGCCGUGCUCUCGAUUUCAGACCAGCAACCAGAAAUGAUCUCUCCGGUUCCUUGGCCAUUCAGGAUCUGGCUUAUCUUAUUUGCAUGGUUGGUCACACUAUCUAAAGUGAAUAUUAAAUUUUUUUUUUUUUUUUUUUGUAAAAUGUUAAGAUUUAUACCAUUUUUUAGAGUUUUACAAUGUUAUGUAAACACAACUUAUUCAAGAAGACAGAGGAGAUGGAACAAAAGAGAAGAGAGGGAACUAGCAAAAGGAAAGGAAACAGAAAAUAGAAAAAAGGAGAGAAGCAAAAAACCUUAACUAAAAGGUGAAAGGAACCAAAAGUACAACUCAAGAAGAGAAGGAACAGAAACAGCAGCUGGAGGUCUCGAAAGGGAAAGCAAACGAUCACGCAUUGCACAGUCCACCACACGGAAGAAAGCUUCUGGAGUUGCUGAUACGCUUGUGAAGAUACGAGCAUUCCUCUCACGCCAGAGAGAGUAAAUGAUGACUUGAUUCAGUAGCUUGAGCACCACCGUCGCCCGGGAAGCAUGAGGGCCUUGAAGAUGCUGGCACAACUCGAUCAUAGACGAUAAAGAGGAUGGGGGAGACGCCAUGUACCUGCCACAAAAACGAGACCAAGUAGCAACUGCAAAGGAACAUUGAAAGAAAAUAUGACUUAUAGUCUCAUCAGCCGUGGAACAGAGAGCACAACCUGGCGGGACAGAGAGACCCCAUGAGAUCAACCGGUCUCUUGUCGGUAACCUUCCUAGAAAAGCAGUCCAAGCUAUAAACGAACAACGAGGGAUUUCCUCUUUGAACCAUACAAUCGAAUGCCAAUUUACCAAGGGGCUGCGAGUUCGACUCCUUUCCCAUGUUACACGGGUCGAGAACGACGAACCAAAACCCCCAGAGUGAUUUCUCCAUAAGUAAGUAUCUCCACCACUAUCAGCAGACGGAAUCGGCAGUCGAAAGAAUGAUCUGCAAGGUCACAGCAUUUUCAGAGCGCGCUGGUGGGAGAUUCCAAUUUCCAUCUCUAACUGCUUGAGAGACAGUUGCUGCUAUAGGAAUUCUCAAAGACCCUGGUCCACCGGGACCAAACAUUAGAUGAAGAGGACCCAAAUCUGUCCAAUAGUCAUACCAAAAUGAGGCUGUGUUCCCAUCUCCUAUAUUACAUCUAAGGAAGAGCAGAAGAUCCUGCUUCAGCUGAAGCAUGCUUCUCACAGUCCAAGAAAAUCUAGGCGAAUCAUUUGUUAGUCAAAAGCUUGUUCCUCCAAAACGAUUAUUGCACAGCCAAGGAACCCUCCGUAGAAGAACAACCAGACCCGCUUUAACCUGAAUACCAUCUUGAAAUCUUCAAGACGCCUUAUUCCAAGCCCACCCUCAGCCUUAGGUUUGCAAAUGUUUUCCCAAGAAACCCUAGCCCCUGCUGCAGAUGUCGUGCUAUUCUUCCAAAGAAAGCCAGAGCACAAAGAGUCUACUUUGGCAUAGAACCAUUUAGGCAACACAAACACUGAGCUCCAAAAGUUAACCAUUCCAUAAAUCACUGAGGAAACCAUAGUUACUUUUCCAGCAAAAGAUAAAUAUUUAACAGUCCAGGAAUGGAGCUUCGACGUUAUACGAUCAAUAAAGGGCUGGAGGGAUGCUGCGGAAAUCCUUUUAGGACUAAGAGGCAAUCCAAGAUACCUUGUAGGGAACUCACCUCUGCGAAAACCUGAUAAAUUACUCAGCACCGAAAUCUGAGUGUCUGAAUAUCCUCCAUAGAAAAUCUCUGAUUUUGACUGAUUAGUGUCCAAACCUGACCACUCUCUGAAGUAAUUCAUGACACCAUUGAUCCCAUCUGUGGAAGCCUGAGACCCAUCCGAAAAAACUAGAAGAUCAUCCGCAAAAAGUAAAUGGGUGAGCUUCGGAGAUAAGCACAGCGGGUGCAAGCCAAAAGAACCAUCAGUUUCGGCCUUGUCUAAGAGGCGAGAUAAAACUUCCAUGAGCAUGAUGAAAAGAUAAGGAGAGAUAGAGUCCCCCUGUCUUAAACCCUUCUUCCCCUCAAAAAAUCCUGCAAGCUCACCAUUAAUAGCCACUGAAAAUCUUGGACAGGAGAUGCAUUCAGUGAUCCAAGUGAUGAACAUAGGCGGGAAUUGCUGAGCUUCUAAGACCUUGAUUACAAAAUCCCAACAAACCGUGUCAAAUGCCUUGCGUAUAUCAAUUUUGAUCAUGUCACUUUUCAGACAAGAAGACUUGUUGUAAUCUUUGAUGAGCUCCGUUGCCAACAAUACAUUCUCGCCAAGACUCCUACCCUUCAGAAACGCAGCUUGGUUUGGGCUAACACAAACAGUCAAGAUGGGUUUGAUUCGGUUGGCAAUAAUCUUUGAAAUGAGUUUAUACACAAUAUUGCAGCAACUGAUGGGUCUAUAAUCCGUAAGGCAGCAAGCUUCAGGUUUCUUAGGUAUGAGAGCAAUUGCCGUAGCGUUCAUAUCCUUUAGAAGCUUACCAUUCCUGAAGAACUCCUUAACAGCAGAGAUGAUAUCAGCCCCAACAGUGUCCCAAGAAGCUCUUAUAAACUCCACUGAAUAACCAUCUGGCCCCGGACUCUUAUUUAACGGCAUUGAAAAAAGAGUGGCUUGAAUCUCUGCAGCAGUAACUUCCCGCUUUAAAUAGUUUUGUUGAAGCUCAGAACAGCGAAAAGGAAGCAAAGACCUGAGUUCUUCGGAAGAAGCCGGCGAGAAGGGAAGAUCCGUUGAUCCUAAGAUACCCUGAAAGUAGUCUGCUGCGUGUGACUUAAUCUCAUCCAUAGAAUAGUACAAGCGGUCGUCACUAUCUUUAAGGUAGUGUAUGUGAUUCCUCGAAGCGUGACUUAAUACUGUCCUGUGAUAGAAGGGGGUGUUUCGGUCUCCAACUCCAGCCCAGCGAACCCUUGACCUUUGUUUAUAAAAAUUUUCCUCAGCCUUGAGUAGAACAUUUAGCUUGUCCCUCUGUAUGUGUUCCUCACGAGCAGUCGGUAUAUCCGGCGUUGUUAGCAAAGACCGCUGAAGUACAUCAACUCUCUCCUUAUGUGCCUUUACUCUCUGAGAAAUACCACUGAAGUGUCUUUUAUUGAGUAAACGCAACGGUCUCUUCAACAGCUUAAGAGAACGAACCAGUUUAAACUGGUCUGUACCCGUAAUCUGAGCAUAAUUCCACGCCUGACGCACUGUAUCUGCAUACUCCGGGUGAUCAAUCACGUGAUGAAAAAAUUUAAACGGUUUUACAACCUGACGUCUGAUCGAUGGCAUCCGGAAAAGGCAGGGGGCAUGAUCUGAUUGAGAUGGGUCUAAGAAGUCUGCGUAGGAAUCAGGAAAAGAGGUAAGCCAGGCUUGGUUAAUGAAAGCAUGGUCGAUCCUGGUUGAGAUUGGAUUGUUGUCCUGACUAUUCUUCCAAGUGAAAGGAAGCCCUUUGGCUUGAGCCUCAAAGAGCUGAGCAUCCUGAAGCCCAAUAUUUGCAUCCUCCAUACCUGUUUCAUCAACGCGAGAAGUAAGGUGGUUCGAAUGGUGAGAGGUCCGCAGCAUCUGAUUAAAGUCUCCCACAACCGACCAUGGAGAGUAAGAAACCGGAGAAGUAGUCUGCAAGUUUACAAGGUUGUGCCACAAACAUCGCCGAUCUUCCACUUGAUUGAAACCGUAGACAAAAGUAACUGUAAGAGAAAUAUUCUCCGAGAGAACAGAAACACCACAAGUAACUGAUUGAGCUGUCGCUUCAUAGAUAACCAAAAUAACCCUCGGGUCCCAAACAAGAACAAUACGGCCGGAGUCAUCGUCUUCAUAGUUUCCAAAAAAAUUCCAACCCCUUGGAAUAGCUCCUAGUACUCUCUCCUUAUUAUUAUCUAAUAUAUGAGUUUCCAAAAAAGCUCCAAAAAGUGGCCUAUGGAUAUUAAUCCAAUCUUUGGUAAUAGUGUGGCGUCUUUCACUAUUCAGUCCACGAACAUUCCACGCAAAAAACAUAUUCAUAAAAUUAAUGACGUUUUGCAGCCUUGCGGCCACUUCUCCUGUUUUUAACCAGGAUAUAAGGUUCCUCCUGCUCCUGCUCAGGGGCAUAUUCUGUAACUUCGAUGUCGGGAGCUUUCUUGCCACCAUUUGCAUUUGGAAUGUCCUCAGUGUCAUUCACAGAAACUUCCAGUGCAGAACCCAAACCGGCAAUCACUUCCCCUGUAUCAUGAACCUCCACAGCCGCAUCCUGUGAAUGUAGAAGCAGGUUGAGACUGGCAGGUACAGAAUUCUCAGUCGAUGAAUCCAAACUAACAACAGCAGCAGUAGAAGAAACCAAAACAACUCCGACAGCCCCUGAAUCCAAACCGACAGCCCCUGUAUCCAAACUAUCUUCACCAGAACCAGAAGAAUUAGUGGUAUCUCUGACCAAAACCUUACUAACUUCCGAGCCAACAAUCAAGUCAUCUGAGGCCGGGUUCUUUUGUUCAGCCAACGUUCCAUCAAUAGAUUGCUGAGAAACUGUAAAAACCUCUAGAACCUGUUGAUAGAUUUCGCCUUCCUCCAACUCAGUAUCGUACUCCUCAGACGGGGACUUCUCCUGAUCGCCGUAUGUGGAGUUUACCAAAGCUUCCAUAGAAUCAGAGUUUUUAGGCACCUCGUGGGAGUUCUUAACAACUGGGACAUAUUGAAGAGUCCCUUGCUUCACUUUUUUAACAGUAGAGCGGCUUGGUCGAGAUCUUGAACGUCUUCUUGACGUCUCAGUAGUCGAUUGUCUCACACUUCUUGACGCAAAUGCUCCUUCAGCAACCCCCAUAGAGCAUUUAAUCGCUGUAUGCCCAAACUUGUUGCAGCGAUCACACUUAACCGGAAGCCAGGGGUAGGAGACAUCAAUCAUAACUUCUUUACCAUUUGAGAACCCUGAGACAAUCUUAGUAGGCAGAGGAGACGUUAAAUCGACUCGCACAUAAAGUUUAGCAACCUCGAAGUUCAGCUUUCGCUCUGUUUCUGGCGCGAGAGAGUCAGGUUUACCAAUAGCAGUUUCGAGACGACUUAAACUCUCUUUGUUGAAGAGCAAGUAUGGGACAUUUCGCAUCUCUACAGGUACAAUAGCAGAGGUGAGAGGCGGUUCAUCUGGAGAGUAGUCCGGAGACCAUGGAGCUACGAACAUAGGAAGUCCAGCAAUGUUCCAGCAGGUACGAGAUAACAGGACCUCGCGAGUUCUUUGAUUUGUCACUCUGAGGAGAUAAAUACCCUGGCCAAUGUUAUGGAUGAAGAUCUUGGGACCUGUCUUCGCCCAAAUCGCAUUCACAACCCCAAUAAUCUUACCCAUUGUAGGAUAAUCACCAUGAAAUCUUGCGUAUAUGAAAUCUUUGAUUUCAAGUUUGGCAGCCUCAAUGUUCUCAUCCGGAAUCAGUACAAACGGAGCACCUGAGACGUGUUCAAUAGGAGAUCCGAGUUCUUGAAGCUGAGCAGAGCUUUUCAGAAGAUCUGCAUAGUUCCUUGCUGGAGUGUCGCCAUUCCCUGAGUUGGAACCCGGUUGAGCGCUUGCAGCCCCUACACUUUGCGGGCAAACCUCCAGAGGUGGAGGAGAAGAAGAAAACUGAGUAACUGGUGGUUUAGUCUCCACCGGGUUAGGCCCAGAUCCUAGAGAAGACCAAGACCAGAGAAUUGAUCAGAACGGACAGGAAACAGAGACCUCGAAGCAAGGAUCUCGGAAUUUUCGGCGAGAGAAGCUAGAGAAGCGAGAACAGUCCCCUGGAUCGAAGACCCAGAUGCAGCUACAUCAAUCUCAGGGAGAUCAGCGAGAGAGAUGACCUUGCUCUUCUUCUUAACCAUCGCUGAUUUCUUUAUUGCACGAAUCAGACGGAACUUGAAGGCAGAGGCAAAUGGCGGUCGAUACUUCUUCUUGGAAAGGAGCAUCGCGACAUGGAGGCGACGAUGAAAGAGAGCAGAAGAGGGUCACCGGCGAGACGGAAGCUCACCGACGGCGGAGAAAGGACUGUAACGGUCUUCUUGAGUUUCUAUCGCUCACCGACGGCAGAUCUACUGUUCACGUAAUAUGUUUCAUAUAUUAUUAAAUUUUAUUCAUCCAAAGAAUUGAUUUACAUUUUUUGUUUUACGUUUUAUGCAUCCUUCGAUUUAUUUUUUAUCGUCAAUUUGUUUUAUUUUUUAGAUUUUGGUCCUUCCCCCUUUUAUUUACUUUUCUCCAAAUAAAUAUAAAAUAGAUUUAUUCUGCUUCAUUUGAAUCUCUUAUUUAUGUAUUGCAAUGACCGUAGAAGAUUAUGAUAUAUAACUAAGACGCUGCAUUUGAUCUUCACACAAGUUUGGUGAAGGAUUAUAGGGGAUAGCAACUGUGCUCCAAAAUUAUGGGGCUCCGAUUGCUUAGGAGAGAUUUUUUCGAGUAUGGAAGCACAGGUUAAAGAUGCUUACAUCAAUACAACACAAUUGGCAAAAUACACAUAAAUGAACAAAAAAAAAUCAAAAAAUUAUUUUAAAUAUGGAGAAAAUGUAAAUUUAUUAAUCUAACAAGGAACCUGUUGUCAAAAAAAAAAAAAAAACAAGGAACCUUUUUAGGAGUAGAUUUCUCAGGUUUAUAACAUGAAGAAAUAAAAAUUAGUUUAAAACAUGAAGAAAUAAAAAUAUUGUUGAUCUCAUCAUCACAAAAUAUCGUUAUAAAAUUAAUUUAGAAGGACCAUGCACGAUUGACAUACACAUAAUAAACAAAAAAAUAAUUAAAAAUCAUUUUGGAUUUAGAUAAAAUGAAAAUCUACUAAAAUUAACAGAGAAAGACUUGCAAAGAAUUAUUCUUGUGGAGACUUCUCAACAAGUAUUAUUUUUAGGUUAUUUUUGCAAUUAAAAUUAACGAAGGAAUACUUCUCAACAAGUUUGCUCAAUGAAUAGAUUUUUUGAGAAAUUUUCUUUCAUAAAUUAUCAGGUUAAUUUUGUAUUUUAAAAUUUAUUUUUGAGUUUCUUAGAGCACACUUCUAUAAAAAUAUUCUUUGAUAUUCAUGUUUAUUUUGUAAUUGCCAAAAUUAUGCAGACUAUCUUCUCAGAAAGUCUUUUUACUGGCAAAUGUCAUAAGAAGUCUAUUCAAGUUAGUUUUGAUAUUAACCAUGUUUGAUUUUAUACGAAUAGACAUCGGAAAAAUCUCAGUGUGAAAAUUUAUUCAACAUUCUACGCUCAAUUUUAACGGUUUGUUAAAAUCUCAGAAUAAACAUCGAAUAGACUUUUGGAGAAAUCUUUUCAAUUUCACCUAGAGCCUUCUCUCGAAAUCUGCAAAUUAAUUAAUUUUUAUUAAAUAUUUUAUUUUGUGGUAAAACUGAUCUUAAAAAACGUUUUAUGAUACUUUAGAGAUCUUUUUUUGAUAUGUCAGAAGUUGUCACAAUUGACUUUUCCGAAAGGCUCGUCAUAACAAUCUUCUCUAAUCUCUAGAAGUGUUGUCACAAUAGGUUUCACUAGAAGUUUGCUAUGAAAAUUUAAAUUCUUAUAUAAUUUCAGUCAAAUGCUAAAAUAAUCUUUAUUUUAUAGAGACUUUCCGAAAUAAACUCCAUUUUUUUGCUUAUGAAGCAAAAUUAGUAGACUUUUAAAAAAGCUUUUUAAGAAAAAUUUACAUUCUCUUUGACCUUUAAGGGUUCACUUAGGACCUCUCAGACACGGGAAUCGAGAAGCCGCCACAAGCCAUGUCUCUUGACGCCGGCGGUGCCCCUUGCCGUCGGCGUCGACUCCUCCGCCGCUCUGCUUCCGCUUCUCUUCUUUUCUUUUGCUCCAUUUUCGUUUCAAGCUUCAGCAUCUCUUUCUGCAACUCGUUGAUUUCAGUUCUUUCCAUGGAUACGUACGGUUCUUCUCGACAGCCCGCGUCACCACCGCCUCGUUUCAACCCUCGGAGAUCUCUCGACGGGCUCAGUCAUUCGAGGCCUCCCAUCUCGUCGACGGAGUACAUGUCGGGGUCACCGUCUGUCGUCUCUCUUCUACUGUCUCCGCCGCUCCCUUCCGCUCCUCGCCGCCAAGUCUCCCCUGUCUGUCGAUUUGAAUCCAUCAGAUCUGAACUCCACUCCGUCGUAGAUCUACUCCGGUCCUCCUCCGACACUCUCACCUCGACGCCACCGCAGUCUCUCACCCUUCAUCUCGCGGUGUUAAAAGCUCCGACUCACUUUCUUAUAUGGAGUCACCGCUCACAUCGAAACGGUUUUAACACCUCGUCACCAUCUCCAACACAUUUGUGGUUUCCUCUUUGGUAUAGAUUCGCGAUUCACCGCUGCAUCUCACCGUCUCUGAACCGGUAUGCGGCUUCACCAACCAUCGGUACAAUCGUCACACUUCGUCUUACAUGUACCACUGAUACCACUAAGAUAUAUGUCGCCUCCUUUCCGUCAUACUCGGACAAGAUUCUACAAAGCUUUGACCAUCUUUUGGGCUUUGGGUUGUAUGCAGAAGCUUCCAUAGUGAAGUUUUCGUCUAAAGCUACGACCGCUCAAAAGAUCCAUAGCUCUUCAACCGACGGUAUAACGCCUCUCUCCCUUGUCGCUGGAUCUAUUGUGCAAGAGUGUGGAUUCGCCAGAUUUUCUCGAUACUAUGUUACUGCUGCGUCUCCAUUACAUUAUGCCGUCUCAAGCAUCGACGGUUCUUCACAUAGUCAGCUCUACGGUCCUGUGCAAGAGUGUGGACUCGCCAGUUCUUCAUGUUGUUACGUUAUCGCUGCGCCUCCAUCACACUACGCCGUCUCAAACAUCGACGGUUCUUCACAGAGUCAGCCCUAUGGUGCCCCCAUCCCUAUCCUUGUCGCAGAAACUAUUGUGCAAGAGUGUGGACACGCCAGAUUUGCUCGUUUCUAUGUCAUUGUUGCGUUUCCAUCACAUUAUGCCGUCUCAAGCAUCGACGGUUCUUCACAGAGUCAUCUCUGCGACUUUCCCAUCGGAGCUGUUAUCUUCUAUGGAGUUUCCCGGAACUCUUGCUUUCAAAACCCAUUAGUUGGGCUAUUCAACGUCGAUUUCGACCUAUGUGCGUUUCUUCGAACGCGAGCUUUAGGACUACAAGUGAAGUGUCUCUAUGGGUCUCUUCUCUCCUUAGCCACAUCUAUCUUUCGACAUGUUUUAGUUAUUUUCGUCUAUCAGUUUAUCGUCGAGAAUCUCUCCAGUUGUAACCGACUUAGCCCAUUGGGUCUUUAAUUUUAAUAUAAGUAUUUCGUGUUCAAAAAAAAAAAAAGAAAAAUUUACAUAAUGGUCAAUUGCAAAACUAACUUAUGUAUUAACGAAUUCUCCAGAAAUUUUUUCGGUGGAGCAGAUAUAUGUAAAAAAUUUAUACGUUAAACAAAUUUGAAAAUUUUGAAUAUUAUAUCUGAUCUAAGUAGAGUUUGUGCUUAAUUUCUCUAACCAUCCAAAAUUUCCUUCAAAAAAUCUAUUUAUUAUUAAAAAAAACUUAUUUAUUUUUGACCAAGAAUCAUCAAACUUGAAUAAUUUUAAUAAAAAUGUAAUUUUGAAAUAAGAGUGAAUAUGCAAGAUAAUGAUCUAUGUAAGUAAGAAUUGAGAUAAAAAGAUGUAAAAUUUGAUUUCAAUUGCAUUUAGAAUUUAGUUUUACUUGUUGACGGUGGUUGGUGAUACAUAUGACAAUGAUAAAUUUAUAAAUAAGUAAUGAAAAUGAGAAUAUUUGAGUAAAUGUUAAAAGCUAUAUAUUUCGAAAAUAAUAAUGAUAUUUUGUAAUUUAUUUAACUUUUUAUAGUGAAUAGGGAAAAACAAAUUUUAACAUAAAAUUUAGGUCAAUUUUGGAAGAGAUCCACAAAUAUAUAGGUUAAUAUGCUUUAAAUAUCACUCCUUCCGUUUCUAAAAGAUCAAUAUUCAAGAAAAAACUUUUGUUUCAAAAAGAUACAUAUUUUAUAUUUCUAAUGUAACUUUUGUUAACCAAUAAUGAGAAAUUGUGAAGUUCAAGAACAUUAAUUGCAUUUCUUAAAAUCUUAUUGGUUUAAAAAUAUAGAAAAUAUAAAAUUACAAAAGACUAUGCAUUUAUAGCUAAGUUUUAAUACUAUGUUUUAUUAAAAAGUGUGAAAAUUCGAAAACAUGGAUCUUUUAGGAUCGGAGGGAGUAAUAAAUAUACGUACCCCAAUACCCCCAUCAUAUAGUUCUAAUUUUUUUUAAUGUUGAUUUAUUAUGAUACUACAAUUAAGAGAAAUAUUAUAUAGACGAUCCGACAGACAACCGACAAUACUACAUGUCUUAUAAGGAUCUACGCCUAAUUGUAUCACCUGAGCUGUCCUACAAAGAUCAUACAUGAUCAAGUUUAUUUGUACCAUAUUGAAGAUUCCUUGUAAACUUUUUCUCGGUAGCCUCCGUAUAGUUCUAAUUUACAUAAAAAGAAAACUUAUUAGUGACAUAUUUUUCUCACGCUGAAUCAAAAUAACUUAAUAUACUGGAACCCCCUUACCUACUCACAAAAUCUUCACCAACCAAAACAUUUCAACUCACAGUCGCGAUCGAAGAGAACGUUUCACUUCACAAGACGCCGAAACCAAACGAUAAGAGAGAGAGAGAGAUAUGAUGUGCGUUAGAGCUCGGCCGCUAUUUUCUUCACCGUUAUCUCUCGCGUUCUCUCCAACCAAACACUCCCCACCUAACCAUCUCCGCCUCCCUCUCUCCUCCUCCUCCUCCUCACGACGCUCCCUCUCCGCCGCCGCAAUGUCUUCCUCCUCCACUCCCCAGAUCAUCGAGCACAUCGUCCUCUUCAAAGUCAAACCCGAAACGGACUCCUCCAAGAUCGCCUCCAUGAUGAACGGCCUCAACGGCCUCGUCUCCCUCAGCCAAGUGAUCCACAUCUCCGCCGCGCCUCUCCACCGCGUCAGAUCCUCCCCCUCCGCCUUCACCCACGUCCUCCACAGCCGGUACGGGUCCAAGGAGGAUCUCAACGCGUACGCCGCGCAUCCCGAUCACGUCCGCGUCGUCAAGGAGUCCGUGCUGCCGAUCUGCGACGACGUCAUGGCCGUUGAUUGGGUCGCGGAUCGAGUCCCCGGAACCCUAGCUCCGCCUCCUGGCUCCGCCGCGAAGCUCACUUUUCUCAGGCUGAAGGAGAAUCUCGCGGGGGAUGCUAAGUCGGAGAUUGUGGAUGUGAUCAAGGGGCUUAGCGAGAAGCUUCCGGGGAUUGAUCAGAUCACGGUGGGAGAGAACUUCUCACCGGCGAGAGCGAAAGGCUUCUCGAUUGCGUCGAUUGCGUUUUUUAAGGAUCUGGGUGAGUUGGAGACGGUGGAUGUGCAGACGGAGUUGGUGAAUGUGGAGAAAGAGAAGGUUCGUGAGUAUGUUGAUUCCACCAUUGUCGUUGAGUUCGUGGUUCCUUCUGGUUUGGUUUCUGGGUUGUAGAAUGUAACAGGGCUUGUGUUUUUGUAACCCUGAACCAAUAAGAGAUAAGAGAGUUUCUGAUUCUGCGUCUUACAAUCGAGAUAUUGAGUUUGGAUCUCUUUGUUAUAAAUUUGAAGUUCUCACAGUUGAAUUGUCUUUUGUCUUAAUGUUGUCUGCAUUUGUGUGUUGAUGCAAAGUUCAAUGCUGAGCUUAGCAACUGUUCUGAUCUUAUUAGUUAGAUGUUACAAUUGCAGUCGAUCUGUCUAUGUAGUUUGCGAUCAGUUCUUUGUGUUAGUUGUCAAAAGCCGGAUUAGUGUUUUAAGAUGCUCCAAGGAUAUCUAUCAUAUCACCUACUCUUGGGUUUGCAUAGUUGAAACCUCAAAACCAGGAGUCGUCCCAGUUUGACGUACAAUAUCAAUCCCAAACCAGAUCAGCAAACCUAGUCAUUCUUACAGAACCAACAGUCUUGUGAUGUAUAUACACUCUUUUAUUAUUUACCUUCAUCCACUUGACAGUUUCAUCAACCUUUUGGAAUAUAACAAGAGCUACUGCCAUUGUUUUCUUCAGUCUUCAUAAAGGUUAGUUAACAUAACCACUUUUUUCUUGUGUAAUCAUCACUUUUUGUUCCAUUCCAUACAUUGGAAAAAUCCCUAACAAGAGCAUCCCGCCAACAGAACCGGCUCAACCCCGCUCUGAAACCGGGAGAUAUUCAUGUUGUUAUCUCCGUAGAAUCAGGCUCUUUGACUGAAGCAUAGUAAGUCGGGUUGUUUAUAAAAGCUGGACUACAUGAUUAAAGGAGGCAAUAAUCUUGUUUCUUUCGUUUUGCAAUUUCCAGGGAUCCAGUCAGAAAAAAAUGCUGUUUUGAUUGAAUUAGAACUCAAUACCAUAUAAGAUCAUACAGUAUUUAGUUUCAAGAAGAUAUAUUUAAUAUGAUAUUGAAAAUUUAUUUUGAUGCAAGUUGCUACUUUUGUUUCCUCGAUUACAUGAAAUUUUUUAGGAUGUUUCCAAUUGGGCACAAGCCGGGUACCUUGUAUUUUUUAUAUACUUGGUACUCGGCUUAGUUUAAAUGAGUAGUAAAAAAAUUAUUUGUACUUGGUUUGCUAAAAACGAGUACUUACAAUUUCAACUACUUGUUAAAAAUUGACGGACUUGCAAGUUACUUAACUUGUUUUAUUACUUGUUAUUUGUAAAUAAUUUUUAGGUUUUUAAUAAUUAUUUGUAAUUUUUUUUUGCUAAUUCGUCGAAAUGCAAAACUAAGUAAGUAUAUUAUGCAUACAAAAUAUUUCAUUGUUUUCCUAUAUUUUAGUCAAUUCAAAAAAUAUAAUAUCUAAGAAAAAAAAACGUCAAGAUAUAUCACAUAUGUUUGAUUAACUUAUGGAAAUAGAUAUAUAAACAAGUUAUUUUACUAUGAUUUAAAAAUGGGUUAAUUUGAUGAAUGAAUAUAUAUUUGGAAAAAUAUUAGAUUUGUAGUAAGAAGGUAAAGAGAGAUAGGAAGAGAAAAUAGGACAAAAGGAUUGAUAUAGUUAGUUGGUGAAAUAUAGUUUUUUUUUUCUAGUUAUUGGAUCAAAUUUCCCAUUUAAAAAUGUAAAUUUGUUCAUCAACAAAAACGAGUAACAAACCAAACAAUUCCAAGUAAUUACUUUGAUUUGAAUACUUAAUACUUAUCUUGUACUUGCUAGUAAUUUAAAUAGAUUACUUGAUACUCCACUUGGUCAAACCGAGUACUCGAGUUUACGAGUCAAGUGAUCAAGUAGCGAUUACAAGCCAAGUACUCGACUUUACGAGUCAAGCGAGCGAGUACAAGCCAAAGCCAAGUAACGAGUAAUUGUGCCAGCCCUAGUUUCCAACACCAACUUUAAGCAGACUUAUUCAUUCAUCGAGGAUGCUAUGUAUUCUAAAGAAGAUAUAGUUAGUUGGUGAAAUAUAGUUUUUUUUUCUAGUUAUUGGAUCAAAUUUCCCAUUUAAAAAUGUAAAUUUGUUCAUCAACAAAAACGAGUAACAAACCAAACAAUUCCAAGUAAUUACUUUGAUUUGAAUACUUAAUACUUAUCUUGUACUUGCUAGUAAUUUAGAGAGACUUACGGAAUGAGACACUUUUUUCUCUUUUUUUACUUCAUUAGACACAUCUCACUUGAGGGACACUUCUUCAUCUCCCUUCCUAUGUGUUUUGACUCAUAUACCUUUUUGCUUUGGUUAGUGAUGAAUUAGUUUUAUUAUAUAAAAUUACUGUCAGCUUUGUGGGGACCAAAAGAGGAGCAACGUGUUUCCUUAAAAGAGAGAGUGUAUAUACUUUGACUCUUUUUAUAUGUAGCAAAAGAGUAUUUUAUACUAAAAGUAACUUUUUAAAUUUCUCAACAUAUUAUAUGUGUCAUUAUUUUAUAUCAUACUGUAUAAAUAAAUAUAUAAAAACAUAAAAUAAAUUAUUAAAAAUUUUCUUUAUAUUUUGAUAUCCAUAUGUAUAUAUAUGUAUUUUAAUAUUUAUCAAAAUUAAAUUUAAAUUACAUACUGUCUAUUUUGAUACUUGUGGACACACUUUUGUGGAUACAUUGUUGAUGGACACAUUUAAAAUAGUCAUGGACAUGUAUUUGUGGAUAGCUUUUUGGUAUUUUGUAGAUACAUUUUUGAUGGAUAAAUUCAAAAUAUCCACUGAAUGGCAGAGACAUUUAGUGUACAAAAUUUUAUGGACAAGAUUUUAUGGACAAAAAUCUCAAUCUUACAAAUUUUAUGUAUAAAAUUUUGUGGACAAGAUUUUUGUGGACAAAGUUUGUAGACAAAUCAUACAAAGUUCAAAGAACCAGUCCCUGAUUCGACGCCUUUAAAAGAGACCUUAACAAAUUGAUAGAAGCUUGUAAGACUUAAUGACUGCUUCAAGCUGAGCCUGAAGAUGUUCCAGCAUGUAAAGUCCAAACAUAUUUAAAGCAUAUCCUAAAUCCAAUUAACCAAACAAAUAUAGCAUGUUCAAUAAACAGAUGAAGCCAAUUUUAUUAAUCAUGAGGAAGGGUUUAUAAUCAACAAGCAAGAGCUUACAUCAUCCAUAAAAUCUCUAAUAGACACAUCAGAAAACAUAAUCACAAAACAUAAUAGGCACGAGAGCUUGUCAUCGUCUUUUCCACAACGGAGGUGGGACCUGCUCGUCGUCGCGUCCUCUCCAUACCGGAUCUCGAAUCUGUUGGCCGUCCUGUCGUCCUCUCCACAAUGGAAGUCGGACCUGAUUGCCGUCGCGUUGUCCUGUCCAUACUGGAGCUCUCGGAUCUGCUCGUCAGCUCUCAUGUCCACAAAAUCUCAGAGAUUCGAUUCAAUUGAAAAAGUACAACACAAACAAUUAAAAAAAGAAAAAAAUAUAAAAAAGGUUAGGGGUUUCAAGGAGAAAGGUAUUGAAAUCGGGCGACGGAGAAUGAAGGAGAAAGGUGAUGAGAUAUGAAGAGAUAGAUAUGAGAUUAUACAGUCACAACCGCUGUGAGCCUUCUGGAUUCAUGGUGUUUUACAGAGAAAUUGAAGACGAAGAAGAAAAGAUUUAGCAGAAUUAUGGUUAGUAAACGAAGGGGCUGAGAAACUGGGAAAAUUAGAUCUGAAUUUCAAAAAAUAAAGCCAGAGAGAGAAUAAAUGAUGGUUUCCGAAAACUCAAAAAUAAAGAAACUGAUUUGUUGAACUAUUUUUAAAAAUAUGGAAAGUGACAGCUUAGUUAGUGAGGAGAGAGUUUAGUUAGUUUGAGAGCAUGUAGGACAUUACACAAUAAAGAAGUGUGCCUCCAGCAACAAGUGUCAUUUUGUGUAAAUUGAAAGAUAAAAAGUGUCUUACAGAGUAAAAAAUUCAUGAACUUAAUAGCAAAAUGUCAAAGAAACAUUCAUUAGAAGUCUAAAAGGUUUCAUAGCUCAACCGUUGACAUAUACAAAAUCAUAGAACAUGCGUACACAAAAGCUGGUUUAGGGCGUUUACGAUGCUCCAAAGGAUAUUUAUCAUUCCACCUAAUCCUUGGUUUCCUCAGUUGAAACCUCGAAACCAGGCGGUAUAAACACAAUGUCGUCCCAGUUUGAUGUUGCGUUUUCCUGCAAUAUCAAUCCCAAGAUUAGAUUCAGCAAAACUAGUUAUUCUUAAAGAUCCAACAGUCUUGUUGUGAUGUUUAUAUAUCUAUUAUUGUUUACCUUCAUCCCCUUGACAAUUUCUUCAAAAACUGCAACCUUUUUGGAAACAUAAAAAGCAUGCGUUUCAGUAUGAGGUAAUAAGAAUUAAUGGACUGACAAGAAAAUAACAACAACAAAAACCUGAAUGUCUCCGGGUUUCAGAGCAGGGUUAAGUCGGUUCUGUUGGCGGGAAGCCCGUGUCAGGGAUUUUUCCAAGUCCUCCUGUACCGAAUAAAUAGAACACCAGCUUUUAAGUUUUUUGGAUCAUGUAUGGACAAAAAGUGAUGAUUAGAUUAGACAAGGAAAGGUGGUGGUCGUGUUAAACUAACCUUUCUGAAGAAAACAGGGCGAUAACUCUUGUUAUCACUACGUAGAAUCAAGCUCUUUGACUGAACCAAAACAAGAAGAGAGAUAUUAAGCUAAAAGAAGAAGCCAAGUCACAAGUUUAAGAGCAAACACAUUACCUGGAAAACUGGAACACCAUUAAAGUCGUCAUCAGUGAAACCAGCUGUUUUCCUUUCCUGUUUUACGCACAUAGAAGAGAGAUACAUAUCAUUUACUUGCAAAGAUUCACAUCCAUAAGACACCUAUAUGCUGCAAGUACAUCCUACCCACCUCUGUUUAAAAUAAACCAAAUUAGCUGAGGCGAUUAAAGAAAAACAAAAUGCUCCUUUUCUUAAUUGUUUUGUUAAGAAACCUCAGCACAGUAUCUAAAUCCAAAUACAUUAUGUGUAUCAAAAUUAGCUGCAACAUGGAAUUCCAAGAGUCAGCUGACGUCAGAAGUCUAAGGCCUACGCUUAAGGUUUUAGUUUUACCAUACAGUAUGUCAGUAUGUGACUUUAUAAAUGAGAUUUAGAGGAAGAGACCCGAUAAGAGCCAAAUACAAUUUUCUCCUUACUUAUUCAUUCUCUAAACCUAUCUACAGAAGACAAAUGAGGAAAAAAACGGAACCAAAGAUAGAACCACAGGGUGAAGUCCAGAGAACCUUAAACUCUACUCUCCUAGUCCUAACUCCUAAGCUAAACCCAGACCAAACAUAGAACAUCCUCUUCUCUACCUCAACUCCCUUGUAAUCUUUUAGCUCUAGCUAAAAGACUCAACAGCUGUCAACAGAGCUACAAUCAACUAAAACCAUGUUAAACUAACACACAGGGCUCCUCAGUGAUGAACGAUGACAAUCAUGUUCAGCACAAGGUAACAUGUUCUUGAGUAUCUAAUGGCAAAUAAACAUUACCUUGAGAGCAUUUUGAACUUGAGUAGACUCAGGAAUCAACCUAAACGCCACACCAUUAACUUUCAACUGGAACACCUGCAGGAACAACAACAAACCAAAAAAAAUCAGAAGAGCCAAGAAACCACCACACUACUUAAUAAGUACUAGUAUAUAAUAAUCCAACAAACUCCCUUCACCUUACUAAGAGCAAGAGCUACAACUUUGGAACCUUCUUUCCUCAUACGAGGGUCCAUAGCCUUCAUCUGGUUAAGCAACGCCUCCGCAUCUUCCGCCUUACAGAACAACAACCCCAGAGACUUCCCUGUGGCAGUCCCCGAUACCAACACGAACUCCUCAUUCGAAUUGCUCAGCGCGUAAACAGGAACCCCCGCCAACCUCUCCUCCAUAUCGUCAGCGGAUAGCCCCGGCCCACUGCUUCUUCGUAUCGGAGCCACAUGGGUCUUCCCGCCGUCGUCAGAGAUUCUGGCCCAGAGGGGUGGUGUGUUGCCGGAAGCGAAGCGAGAGAAUCCGGAAUCGAGAGCUUGCUUGGCUUGGGCUCGAAAGGAGUCGAGAGCAGAGAAGAUGUUGUUCGAGUUGGGGUUGAAGAGAGGGUUUAGGGUUUUGGAAACGUUGUUGAGUAAAUCGGAGCAUUGGGUUUGGAUGUUGGAGAAGGAUUGUUGCAAAGUUAGGUGCUUUUGCUGUUUAGAUGAUGAGGAAACGUUUGAAUCCAUCUUUUCUUUCUCGGGGAAAUGCUUUGCGACUGUGACAAGAGAAAACAGAGAGUUGUCUGAGGGUUUUGCUUAAAAAGAUUGAUCUUUCUUUUUUUUUUGACAGAGGAUGACGAAACGAUUGGAAUCCUCUGUGGCUAGACAUAUCUUCUGUUAAUAACACCAACCAUUUGGACUCGGCCACGUAUAUCUACUUUGGAGCUCUUUGUUUUUCACCAUUUCUUAUUUCCAUCCAUCUGAUUUAUUUAUACGAUAUAUCCAAAUUUUAUGGAACCGUUUGUUUGUCAAUUCAUGUGACUCUUGUCGAUGAAUCAUCUAAAUAAACUUAUAUUUAUUUCUUUUUUAUUAAGACUGAUCCAUCCUACUAGCGAGAUAAAAAUUAACAAAUAAUUUAAAUAGUUAGAGUAAAUAUUUAAUAUAAAUUAUUAUUAUUUAAAAAUGUACAAAUUAGUUAAAUUGUGUACAUUUUAUUAUAUUUAAAGACUAAAUAAACCAUGUUAUCUGAAAAAUUAGUUAUGAUUUUUUAAGUAAAUAUUACUUGUUAUUUUAAAAAAUAUGAUUUUAUUUUGUUAAGUAAUGUAUGUAUUUUUGUGGCAUUACAUCAUUUUUUGUGAUUUUCUCGAGUUGGAUGACCAUAAAAACCCUCAAAAUUCUUCUUUUUUUUUUUUUUGUUAAUAGAAAAGAAACAAACUUGUAAAUAAAUUCACAGAUUUUUUGUUAAAUUUUAUAUACUUUAGUGGAUUAUCUUAUGUGUAUACUAAAUUUAGUUGUUACAGUAGAUCAUUGUUGAAAUUUUGUUUGAUUUAAAAUGUAUAAUUAAUUAUAAAAUUAUUUAUGUAAUAUUAACUAUUUAAUUAAUAUAUUUGACCAAGAAAAUAAAAAAUAUACAUGUUUGCUAUAACUUUUUAUAUUUACUAUAUUUGAAAAUCAAGUAAACCAUGUUUCUUAUAUAAACGAUUAUAAUUUUUGAAAUAAAUGUAACUGAUUAGUUGACCAAAAAUGUUUCUAGUUAAUUUUCAUAAUAUAAAUUUUAAUUUCUUAAAAUUCAUUGUUUUGAUCAUAAAUUUACUACAUUUUACCAUAGAUUACUGUUCAAAUUUAUUUGAAUUAAAAUGUAUAAUUAAUUAUAGUAUUAUUUAUGUAAUAUUAGAUAUGGUACUUUGUUAAUAUUAUUUGUGAGGUUGUGUGUUAGUUGUCUGUGCUGACUCCAUGUUUGAUUGAGACAUGAUCUUUGUAUAUAUAUGCUGCAGUUGUAGGAUUCACAAUGUAGAGUUCUCGUGUUUGUGGAACUAAAUGAAGAAUUUCAAUGUAUUAUUUUGGUUCAAAAAAAUUUCCUUGACUACUUUUACGUUUUGUUAGUUAGUUUGAAAACCCGACUUCAUAAUUGCCGUAGAAGAGGAAUUAAUUGAAUUUUAUUAAUUACUAGAUUUUUUAUCCGCGCUACGCGCGGAUUGUGUUCUAUACAUUUUCUUUUAAAAAUUGAUAUUUUAAAAUAUUUCACAUUAUAUUACAUUAAAUCUAUGUAAAACAUUAUAAAUAAUAAAACAGAUCAUGAUAACUUGAGAUUUUCUGUUAUGAUUUUUUUAAAACAUUAUUAUAUUGUUUGAUUUUGUUGUUCAUGCUUUACAAUAUUUUCAUCCAUGAAAAAAAUUAAUAGUUAUAAUUUUAAUGAUUAGUAAUUGAUUAUAUAUGUUUAAGUAUAUCUGGAAAAAUUACUAAAAUGUUACAUAAUAGUUUUUUGAUAAAGUAUCUGUUUGCUAAAUAUAUUUAAAUUUUCGUGUAACGUUUAUUUUUAUUUUUAUGUUUUUGGCCCCUAUUUUCUUUCUUAUGUUAAGAAUUUAUUAGUUCAAACCAAAUAUAAUUCCUUAGAAAAUAUUUCUUGUCUGAAAAAACAAUGUAAUCAAUUUCUUUCUAAAGUUAAUCAGCUUAUAUAUAUAUAUAUAUAUAUAUAUAUAUAUAUAUAUAUAUGAAAUAUAUUUCAAUAAAGACUAACAUCUAAAAAGGAUAUUGCCCUACUUAGAAUUUUAGUAAAACAUUUUGUAGCAUCUAAUUUUUGUUUGGUAUACUUUAUAUCAGGUUUUUGUUUUUUAUUUGUCAUUUGUUUAUAUGUUUUAUAAUAUAUUUCUUACGGUUAAAACAUAAUUUCUUACAGAUAUAAUAAAUAAAUCUAAUUUAAUAAACUCAGUGUUUCUAAGUUCAAAUAACAAAUUUCAUACAAAUAAUUUUUGCUAUACGGUAUUUAUUUGUGUGAUUUAUUUUAUUUUUGGUAUUUAUGUUUGUUUUGUUAGCCUACUUUAUAAUCAAUAACAUUUAUUCUCACAUUAUGUGAUUUUAAUCUCUUAUUAUUUAUACUUUGGGUUAUGUUUUUAAUCUACUUGAAUUUAUUGUUUUUAUUGGUGUAUUGUCUUUUAUAGUGUAGAGUUUUUGAGUUUAGCUUCCAAUUUAAAACUGAUAUUGGAAACAGACGACUUAGAUUUGAUUGCCUACAUUUAGUAUUUUAACAUAUAUAUAAUUAUUAGUGGAAAGUAACUACUUAAAAAAUUCUAUCAUUAAACUAAUAGUUUUGCUUAGGAGCUAUUAAUAUCAUAAGUUGUACAUGAAAAUAUAAUAACAAUUACAAUAGUCAAUGGGCAUAAGAUUUUGUUAGUUGGAAACAAAUAAUUCGGAAAGCAAACAAAGCAAUCACAUGAUAUGAGAUCUCAUCCCAAUAAAAUAAUAUAGUAGGUUUUAUGUAAUCUUACUAUAAAUUUAUAUAAUAAAGUUGGUGAGAACGUAUUUCAUACUCCCUCCCUUUCAUAUUAAGUGACUUAAUAUUGUAUAACAAUUUAUUAUUUUACAAAAUAAAUGUCGUUUUAGGGUUUCAGUGAAAUUUAUGUCAUUAAUUUGUUUCUUUACCUCUACAUAAAUUAAGAAAAAAAUUAAAGCAAUAGAAUUCUAAUUGUUAAAUAAGGGCAAAAUCGAACAUUUUACCUUUUUUUAAUUGGCGUGAAUUUAGAACGGUAAUUAAAAUGAAAUUAAAAAAGUAUAUGUUAGAGUCUUAUUUUAUUUUGUUAUAAAAUUGUUGUAGUUAGAAUAUGAUAUGCAAUAUUUACAACCUAAUUGAUGAAAAUGUGCAAAUUAAAACCAUUUAUCUAUUGAAGCUCUUGUUAAAUUUUUUCUCUUCAUAAUUAAAAUAAGGAUGCUACUUCUUACUUUAUCUUUAUAUAUUUAAAAUUAAAUAUAUAUUUUCAAUAAUGUUUAUAAAAUAUUAAUUUUGAUAUCUUCAGAUAUUAUAUAGAUGAUUCAAUUCAUAUUAACAGCUGAUAAACUAUUAUUUAUAUUUGAUUUUAUAAUUUGUAUCUAGAUUUUUAUUUGAAUAGCUUAUACAGUUAAUUUAUAUAUUAAAGUAUUAACUUUUGUUUUGUAUUUAACAGAAAGUCAUAAUUUAUGAUUAUUAUAUAUUUUCUCUGUUUUAGUGUAUUAAAUAGAUAUGAAGAUUUUUAUUUUGUUUCACAAUGUAAUUUAUUUCGAAAUCCAAUGAAAAGAUGAAAUGACUAAACAGUAUUUAUUUAAAAAGUUAAAAUUAAAAUUGAAAUAGAAUUUAUUAUUAGUUAUUCUUUCUCAAUAAUUAAGUGCUAAAGAAAAAAGAAUAUAUAUCUUAGUAUUUGUAUAUUUCAGGUUUACAAAAAGAAAUCUAUAAGAAAUUUGGACGAUGUAGUAAUCACAGAAAAUGCCAACUACGAAAACAUACUAAUUUGAAUUUAUAAUCACAUGUGUCUGUUCUCUGAAAACCUAAAGACGUUGCCCAAUUGCAAAGUCCAUCACGUUGUAAACAUAAUCGACGUGUGCAUGCAAAAUAUAUUUCGCUCACAAAUUCUUGAAACCGAUUGCUCCGUCGGUUCCAUUGUUGAUCAUUGCAGAAAAAUCGAUUUGUUGUUGAAAAAAGGACUGUUCAGUUCAACGGCAGAUGCACAUCGUGUCAAGAUAGACUUUGAAAAUGGACAGUGAUGAGACCUAAUAGCUCACUACAUUAGCUCUAGCAGGAAAGGCUCCUCCAAUGAUCACCCCGAAUCCAAUCCCUGGUCUUGAGGUUCAGAGCCAAUGGCAGUGGGAUAAAACAGUAUAGCUGCCUCGGGAAACCAUUGAUCCCAACAUAUAGCUGAAUAAAACAUUGCACCAAUACUUCAGUUAUGAUUUUGUCUACUUAUAAAUCACACGAAAAAGCUAAGCAAGAAAAUUUCGCUUAUACAUGUUAACCAAAUAGCAAUGAUAAAGUAAGAAAAUGUUUAAUUCGGAGAUUCUUCUACUCAGAAACUACUUUAAAGCCAGUGUCACCAUGAUUGAAAAAAUAUUUCUCUUAACCUAAAGAAUAGAAAAUAUAUCAUCAAAAGAAAGUCGAGGGGUUUCUAACCCCAAACUUGAUUCACCUGGUCCAUCAGGGGUAUGCGACUUCCUAUAAAUCCCGAGGUUAGUUCCAUCAGAGUCAAUAAUGUCAAUAGAGUUGUAAGUGCGUUAAUUUGCCUACUCAAAAAAAGCUAACCGGCAUCACUACACUCAGAUCCUUGGCCAGCUUCUGCAUCAUGUGUUAGUAACCCAUAUCCAACCAUUCAAGCACAACUAUAUAACGGAAACAUCUCCAGAUGACAUCUCCCGUGUUGAUGAAAGUACAAAAAACCACAAUCUAAGUAUCAAAGGUGCACCAAUAUGAAAAAGAGGAUACCUUGCAGUGGUAGGAUGAUCUUUGUAAGGCUUGGCUCGCUGAAAGUAGUCCUCUCUUGGUGCUUGACAGAAGUAAUAUAUGUUCCUGUAUUCAUGUACGUAAAAAAAAUGAUUGGAGAUACUUGCAUUCAUAUUGUAUGGUAAUCAUUUUUUUUAAUAUGCAAUAAUCAAGGGAGAACAUCAUAGAUCACUACAUAACAGGACUUUACUCCAGAGUCCACAGGUAGAGCAUCAGAUAUGUCAAUACUUAAGGCAGGUAUGACAAUUAAAAUCGAAACACUACAGCAGAUAUGUAAGAGGAAGAAUGACCUGAAUAAGAACGAUGUUUGCCUAAAUCGAAACACUCAGAGUCGCGUUCAUGGUGAUCAUGUCUGUUCCUACACCACCAGCAUCUUGACCAGCUUGGAUCUUGAGCGUCUCGAAUGUUAUACUCUGCAAAGUCCAGAUCUGAGAAUUGGAUUCUUGAAUCAGAUUUAAAAUCUAAGAGUUCAGAUCGGAACACUAACCUUGACAGUUAUCUUCGGUUUCUGAGGUUUAGCAGCUCCGUACAGAAUCAAAGAGAAGAGACCAAAGAGUAUGAAGAACCCAACGAUGAAGGCCAAGACAUAGUACCCACGAGGCAUGCCACGAUCUCUCUCGCCGUCAUCUAACAACCCUUCUUCUUCGAUCAUCGCACACUCUUUCCACUGCUUCUCUCCGCCGUGUCCUUUCCGCUUUGAGCCGUCGUUGACUUUCCGAGACCCGGGUUUCAAAGACCCGGAGAAUCGGGUUGAGGAGGAUUCUCGUGAGUAGCGGCCCAUGGAUGAUUGAGAAUGCGGCGGAGAUCCCAUCGGACUAAGUACCAGAGUUGAGUGGCGUUGGCUUUACACUAAAAAAAGAACGAUGUUGGCUUUCUUUUAUGUGCUUCUCUGACCAGAACACAAAACCAAGAAACAAAAGCCCCAUCGCUUACUCCGUCGCUUUUUUGCUCUCUUAAAACUCGUUUACAUUUUUUUGAUGUCUCCCUCUUCACACUCUCCAUCGGUUGCUCUCCAAGGGUGAGCUGCUGUAAACGUAAUAAAUUAAUUAGCUAAGGAAAUCAGGUGAGAGCCGAUGGUUAGAAGAAAUGGUAAAAUGACUUGAGAGGUAAAAGGCUAAAGCAAGGAGAUUAAUAAAGUUGCAGUGAGGAAGGAGAAGAGUAAGAGUCUGCCUCUUUGUCGCUGGAGUGUGGAAUUAAGUUGGAAUACGAAGGAAGUGGAAGAAGGCUGUGGAUAUUAUAUAGUGAGUUUUGGAAAUCUGAGAAGUGGUUCUCAUCGGACUGUUUCAGAAUUCCAAAGAUAAAAAAUGGAUAUAUGAAGUAGUGGAAGGUGAAAGAGUGACUUUUUGUUUAGUUGAAUAUUAGGUCUGAGAGAGGUAGGCCUGAAAUGGGCCAUGAAGAAUUAUUAUUUGCUCACACCAAUGAUCCAAUAUUUUUCUUGUGUCGAUUAAAGCAGACGUGAGGUGGCAUUUUAAAAUUCUAUGAUUGGCUGAUUUUAUGAACGACGUGGACAUGCUGAGAAUGGAGUAUAUCUCCCUUUUAAUAUAGUUUAGAUGCUACUUGAAAUAGAAUAUGGAGACCAUUACAAUACACCUUGGAUAAU